rnacentral:lncRNA from 1 species
AAGAUAACUUCUGAUUGUCCAGAUCGUAGACUACGUGCAUAUUCUGCUGCUGAAAAUUGCCAAUUGUAGAGCUUUCGUCUCCGGAAUCGAACAUCGCCAAGCACAUUAAACCGACGGUAGAAUCUUGGUACAUGUAAUUUUCGUGCGGCAGAUCCAUAUCAGCGCCUUCGAAGUGGAAUAUCAGCUUCGGCACGUCCACCUUUGCUGACGGAGACGACGGCAGCGAGAAGCAAAGGUCAAAAACCUCUGCGGUGGCGUUAGCCACGGGCGGCUUCACCUGCGACAAGAAGGCGCUCCUCACGAGCUUGUAAGCAACCGUGGUUAGCUGCGUGAUGGCCGUUCCGGAGUCUAUGAUCACUCCGCCCGUCCCGUUUCGCUGCAGCACGAAUGCCGACUUCGGUAUCGGUAGACGGGUCGUGCCGACCGUUAUACCGUCGAGAGAGAGGUAAUAGAAGGUUGGCUGUGAAGGAUUCAGAACGAACGGAGUCGACCGGACGGCAGUAGCACUGCCGUUCAGAUCGGCAGCUGAUCCUAACAUGAGUGUGCUGCUCUUCGAAUCGUCGUCGUCGUAGGAAAUGAAGCAGUAAGAAAACUUUCCGACUCCUAACUGAGAGAUGAGAGACAAGGACCCGCGACCAAAGCCUGCGAUCCCGGAUUCGUUGUUGAAGAGGCCCCCGUUGAGAAACCCACAGCCGAAUCCAAGGUUCGGGACCGUGACGUUGUUAGAGGACCCGAAGGUGAAGGCCUCGCUGGCGAGAGUGCCGAUGGCGAUUGAGUUGUCGCCAUAGCCGUAAAGAUAGAGGCAUUGUGCGUGGCAGGCGGAUAGAGGAAGAGCCCGGCAGAGCUUGCUGGAGCAGGCGAGCGGCGAGUAGGUGGAUGAUUGCGAAGGAUCGUACAAAGGAAAGCGCUGGUUGAAGCACGAGAGGCAGGGCUGGCACUGCGUCCAGACGAGAUCGCUGCCAGUAUCAAGGUUGAGCAGAAGAGGCUGUGGUGGCGUGCCGAUGGAAACUCCGAUGGUGUAGUCGCCGGCAUUUGGCAAGACAGGCACGUCAGUUGUGGAUAUCGAGUUGGCAGAACCCCCGCGCGGCCUUGGACACGAGCAUCGCACCCCGGGCCCUGCUUCGGAGCGCCAUGCGCUGCAGGAGCUCGAAUUUGGUGAAGUUCCGGCCCGCAUCGACGUGGGUCAGGUCCACGCGCAGACCGUCGAAGGCAGAAAUGGCCGGAGGAACUAGCGAGACAAGGAGGAGCACCAGGACUGCAGGCAGCAUAUUUUCAGAGGGCUUAACAGCAUACAUGUUGUGGUCUGAGUUACAGAGACUAUAUGUUUUGCGAAGCUAACACUUGUUUGGAGGAAUGUUUAUAGAGUGGGGGAUUUAGCAAGAAUGUGUCUCCCUGAUGGCGAAUAUUGUUGAAUUAUGUAGUGUUAAAUUUUUCUUGGUCUAAUACGAGGACUUGGUUAACGCGCUAUUACAUAUAUUUCCAAAUUUUGGGUCUCAAUCGCCGUAGUGAAGGGGUUUAGCUCGAACACAUUAUACAUUAUACAUUAUACAUUAUACGUAUCUUGACGCGGCAAAAUUAUGCGUGCCUAUUAGCGGCGUAAACGAGCCGGACACGAACGAGUGGGGGCCGGCUCGUAUUCGGCUCGUUUAAUAAACAAGCUGAAUACGAACUGGCUCGUUAAAGUAUUGAGCCGAAAAAUUCAGCUCAUAUUCGGUUAUUAAUAACGAGCCGAAUACGAGCUGGCUCACGAACUGACCAACGAACAAUAAGUUAAGCCAACGUUUAGAUCGGGUAUAAAGGGGGAUAAGAGGUUAUCCCCCUUUAUACCCAAACAUGAUUUUGGGGGGUGGGCACUCAACCCGGUUCCCACCCGGUGGGAACCGGGUUGGGUGGGAACAACUUGUUCCCACCCAGGGUUGGGACAACGGGUAGGAACAACUUGUUCCCACCCACCGGGUAGAGAGAAAGAGAGAGAGAUUGAUUUUUAUUUUAAAUUAAAUUUUUAAAAUUUAAAAUUAUAAAUUUUAAAGUUUAAAUUUUAAAUUUGAUAUUUUUAGUUUUUAAAAUUUAAAUUUGAUAUUUUAUAUCUUUUAAAUUUAAAUUUGGUCUUAAAUUUAAAAUUUGAUAUUUAAAAUUAAAAUUUUNAAUAUCAUUAUUUUCUAUUUAUAACUACCAACUAUUCUAGCUUAUACUCACAUUUUCAUUCAAACAUAAUUUUUCUAAUUCCAGUUUAUAUUUACAUUUUCAUCCAAACAAAAAAAUAUUUUUAUUUUUAUAAAAAUCCAUACUUGUACCUAUCCCUAGUAUAACUAGUUCUUUCUUAUACCCGAAUCAAACGGAGCCUAAAAGAAUUAGAUUGAAUAUAUAUAAAAAAUAAAUUUAUAGAACUUAUUCAUUAGACUUUGAUCUAAUAGUUGAAACUUUAUAUAUAAAUAAGUCUUUUUAUAAUUAAGUUUGUCUUUAUAUUUUUAUUUUGCUAAAAAUUAAAUAAUAAAAAUAUAUAUUAUAUAUAUAGUUAUUUAUUUAUAUAUAUAUAAAUAUAAAUUAAAUAAAUUAUAUAAAUAUAAAAUAUAGUAUUCGAGCUGUUAUCGAGCCGAACACGAGUAAGCUAACCCCAGCUCGUAUUCAGCUCAUUUAUUAAACCAGCCGUAAAAUUCAAUUCGAGUUCGACUCGUUUACUAAACGAGCGAUUCGAUCUCAAGCUCAUUUUGAGCCGAACACGAGCUGGCCCGCGAACGACGAGCUGAAUUGCUACCCUAGUGCCUAUAUAACAAAUUUUUUAAAAAUAUUAUUUCAAUAUAAAAUUACUAUACUAUCUAUGAUUAGAAUUUUUUAGUACCAUGCAUGGUAUGAUAAAAUUGAGAUGUACGUUUUUUUUAAUACUAGAAUCUAAAAAAGUUAUCCAAAUUUUUGGAUAAGACGGAAGUAAUAUUUAUACCUAAAAAUUAGGCCUACAAUUCACAUUUCUCUAAAUAUAAAGAUAAAUAAAGGAGUUCUAGAAGCAGAGGUUGACCCGGGUCAAUGUAUCAUGGAAAGAAAUGGAAAAAAAGAAAGAAAAAGAAAAAGAAAAAGAAAAAGAAAAACGAGUACGAUGAACGCGCACAACGGAAACGUGGAACCGAAGCGCGGUCGCUUUUCCUUGUGUGCUUUGUACAACGACUUAAUCAUCCCAGUUUCCACGCUAAACAACUCUGUUGUGAUUAAUUUAGGCCAAUUUGCAUAAAAAAUUCAUUUAUUUUGGGCUUUUUCAAAAUCAGGUCACCUUUUUUGUUUUUGCAGAUUCGGUACGUUUUUUCAGCAAACUGACCAAAAUAUCCUUAUUACUUUUUCUCUUUCCUCUUUCUCUCUUCUCUUCGUUCUCUCGUUUUUUUUUUUUCGUCGGAAAAAAAACAAGCGAAGGCCAGGCGGAGCAAUUUUUUCUUCUCUUUUUCUUUUUCCUCUUCUUCUUCUUCUUCUUCUUCCUGUAAGAGCACGGGGCGCGCCACGGCGACUUCCGGCCUCGCCAAGCGGCGUCCACCCGGCGGCGUUCUGCAGGGAGGGGUCGGCACCGGCGACCGCGAGCGCUGCGGCGAGGGUGGGGGCGAGCGGGAGGCGGGCAGCGAGGUGGAGCGGGGUGUCGCAGCCGGGGACGUCGCGCCGGUCGAGAGCGGGGGUCACGCGCUCCGCUCGGGCGGCGUCGGCCGCCGUCGCGAUCUCCGACGGCUGCUUCUUCUUUUUCGUAAUGGUGUAAUGGUGCACGCGGGCCGGUGCACGCAGCGGCGGCGGGCGGGCAUGCGGGCGCGUUGCGGCUGCUUCUUUUUCGUCGUAAUGGUGUAAUGGUGCACCAUUACACCAUUAAUGGUGUAAUGUAAUGGUACACCAUUACACCAUUAAUGGUGUAAUGGUGCAAUUACACCAUUAACGGUGCACGCGGCCCGCGGAGCGGAGCCGCUGGCGGAGCUCCGCCGGGCGCAGCCGCCCGAGGGCCUCCUCGAAGCGCGCCAGCAGCGCGGCGUGGCGCCGGCGCUGCCGCGUGGAGCGGACAGCGAAGUCAGCGUGCAUGAGGGGAAGCUGGCGGAGCCCAAGGCGGCAACCGCACCAUCGACAAUUAAUUUUUCUAUUUCUUUCUGAAAUGAAGGGCUAAUUCUGAUACCACGUCGGCCGGCGGCGCCUGCGACAGAAGAGCGAGCUAGAGAAAGCAAGGAGGACAAGGAGGACGAGGAGAUCAGCAAGAGAGCAUUAGAACCGGAGCCUGAGAGGCCAUGUUAAUUAGGUCUCUAUUGAUCUCAAGUAACUAAACAAAUCAAGAGCAAUGCUAUUAAUUAGUUGUAUGAGCUCGUGUCCAACGAUUGCGUAUAUAUAUGUAGCAAUAAUUAACAAAUAGACGAGGGAACAUAUAUAGUGCCUUGGUCAGUUUAAUUAAUUACAACGUAUAGUUGUGUCGGCUAAUAUAUUUAUUAUAAAUGUGAUGAACUUCUAUCAAGUUGAGCCUCUGAAUUUUUUAUUAUAAAUGCUCCGCCAGCUUCCCUAACCUCGUCGGGAUGCGGGACUAACAACAGCGGUUCUGCCCCCUCCAUCCCCCCUCCAUCCCGUCCUCCUGACGAUCCCCCUCCCUGCAUCCCGAUGAGCGGCGGUUCCGCCGCCACUUCGACGCCGCCGGCGCCGUCUUCUCCGCCUCCGCCGCCAAGCUCGAGCUGUCCGCGCGCCUCCUGCGUGAGCGGCACGUGCUGGGACGGGCGGUCGCCGCCGCCGGCCGCAACCUCGGCCACGAGUUCGAGCGGCUGCCUCGGCCACGACUUCGCUGCCCGCUCCGCGCGGCAGCGCCGGCGCCACGCCGCACUGCUGGCGCGCUUCGAGGAGGCCCUCGGCCGGCUGCGCCCGACGAAGCUCCACCCACGGCUCCGCUCCGCGGGCCACAUGCACCGUUAAUGGUGUAAUUACACUAUUACACCAUUAAUGAUAAAAUUACACCAUUAAUGAUAUAAUGGUGUAAUUUCAAUAGUGUAAUUUCAUCAUUAAUGGUGUAAUGGUGCACCAUUACACCAUUAAUGGUAAAAUUACACCAUUAAUGGUGUAACCAUUACACCAUUCACCAUUAAUGGUGUAACCAUUAUAUCAUUAAUGGUGUAAUUACACCAUUACGACGAAGAAGAAGCAGCCGCAGUGCAUCGCGAUGGCGGCCGACGCCGCCCAAGCGGAGCGCCGGGCGGCGCGCGUGACCCCCGCUCUCGACCCGGAGCUGCUGCUGACCCUGGGGAGCAAGGGGAGAAGGAGGGAGGCAUCCGCAUCGCGCGCGCCGUGAGUGUCGUCGUCGCCUCCGUCUACCAGCCGAGCCGUCGUGUGCUGGGGCUCGUUGACCGCCGCCUCAUCCUCUCGCACAGCCGCGCCGCCUACUCCGGCGACCCGGGCCACCUCGCCGACUUCCUCGCCGCAUUCAGGUGCUCCAUCCCCGCCGGCGAGAGCCCCGCCGAGUUCGCCCUCGACGCCGUCCGCUCCUCGAGCCCGCCACGUCGUCGUCGCUCGCCGAGUUCAACACGGCCGCCGCUGAGGGACGUGAUCGCGGCGAGCAUCUCGCAGGGGAAGCUGGUGUCGUCGCGGGGGCGAUGAACGUGCGGCGCGCCGCGGAUCUGCUGCUGACUCGGGGAAGCAAGGGGAGAGGGAGGGAGAUAUCCAUCUCUGACAAGAAGCAGAGGAAGAAGAAGAAGAGAAAAAGAAAAAAAAAAGAAACGAAAUAGUGUAAAAUAUUUUUAAAUGGUGCAAUCUUAGUCUAAAAAGUGUAAAAUUUAUUUCAAAAGAGUGUAAUUUAUAUAUCAAAUAGUAUAAUUUUUAUUAAAACAGUGUAAUUUUUUUAAAAACUGUGUAAUCUUAUUUUAAGAGUGCAAUUUUUAUCAUCUUCUUUCUUCUAUAUUUUUUGAUCUUUUCUGUAGAAAAAAAAUAAUUUUUAUUUUUAUUUUUUAUUAUUCUUAUUUUUUUUCUAUAAUUUCUUUUUGUCACCAUUUCUUCCUUGCUUUCUAUCGCAACCACCGCGACGUCGUCGGAGGCGAUCUCGUCGCCUGCCACCUCCGACGACGUCUCGGCGUUCCAACACGCGGUGGAGGAGAAGCCGUUUGGCGAGGCCGGAAGUCGCCGUGGCGCGCCCCGUGCUCUUACAGGAAGAAGAAGAAAAAGAAGAAGAAGAGGGAAAAAAAAAAGGUGCUCCAGUAGGAGGAAGAAGAAGAAGAAAAAGAAAAAAAGAAGAAAAAAUUGCUCCGUCUGAUCUUCGCUUUUUUCUUUUUCCGGCGGAAAAAAAAAAGAACGAGAGAACGAAGAGGAGAGAGAAAGAGGAAAGAGAAAAAGUAAUAAGGGUAUUUUGGUCAGUUUGCUGAAAAAGCAGACCGAAUUUGUAAAAAUAAAAAAGGUGGCCGGUUUUGCAAAAGUCCAAAAUAAAUGAAUUUUUUAUGCAAAUUGGCCAUUAAUUUAGCCCACACUAGUAAAUGUUUUGAAGCAAAUUUUUUUUAAAAAAACUGUUAUAUGAAAGCUUAAGUUUUUAUAGAUCACCGGUUAAUUAAUUUUAAAUUAGUCCAAUGGCGCUUGUUAGUCGCAGCUAGCAUAUAUAGUUGUUUGUGCAGCAUGCAAGUUGCGCCUAACAUAUGAGUUGGAUUUAUAUCUUGUAUUAGUUGCAGUACCACUGUAUUAGGUUCAUGUCACGUAUUAAUAGUACCUAGCAUAUGUAGGAAGAGUAACAGUAUAGAAUCUUUGAUUUUUUAUGUUGUUACAACAAAAUUGAAAAAAAAAUCUGUUUUGUCGGACGUGAAAAUAAAAGCAUAGAAUAGAGAAAGAGAGAAAAAAAUAAAUAUACAAAUAUUUACCUGGUUCAGACACACACAAGCCUAUUUUUAACAGAGAAAAUUUUUAUUUUAACCAAAGUAGAGUAUAAAAGAUGCCUCUCUCAUAAAAAACCUAGCUUAAUUCCAAAAUACAUCUAUAUAUACUUCCUUUUUUUUCUGCCACAUCAAAUUAAUAAAUAAAAAGUAUAUUUAUAUUAAUGAUUAAAAUCCAAUAACAUUGGUAAUAAUAUCAAUAAGAUUAGAUCUCUCAAAAAACAAAAAAAUCAAUAAGAUUAGGUAUAAUCUUAACAUAACUUAAUAAGUUGACAGAGAAAGAAUGUGGUUAAUUAGGAAAUUUUACGGUUUUAGAAUUCAAAAUAUAUCUAACAUAUAUUAUGUGGAGAGUAUUUUCACCAGUUACUUUGAGUUUUGGGAAUGUUUUUAGCCUUUUAGGCCCGUUUGGAUACUCCAAAAAAUAUAGCAUAGUUAAACUAUACUACGGCGGUAGGAAAAAUAUCCUAUGAAGCGUUUGGGAGGAAAAAAAGUAACGAAAUUUUUGGAGUACUAGAUUAAACUAUACUCCAAAAAAUAGAGGUAAAAGUAUAAUCCAAUCUAACAAAGAAAAAAAAUUCCACCAUUCUUGAGCUCCUUAUUCAAAAAAAUGCAUCAAGUUCUAACUUUUAAAUUUCAACAUAAAAUUUUAAAUUUCAACAUAGAUUUUAAAUUUCAAAUAGAUUUAAAAUUUAAAAUUUAAAAUUUGAAAUUUGAAAUAUCAAAUUUGAAAUUUAAAUUAAAAAUUUAAAUUUUAAAUUUUAAAUUUCAAACUUUAAAUUUCAAAUUUCAAAUUUCAAUUUCAAAUUUAAAUUUCAAAUUUUAAAUUUCAAAUUCAAAUUUUAAAUUUUAAUUUAAAUUUAAAUCAAAUUUCAAAUUUCAAAUUUAAAUUUCAAAUUUCAAAUUUCAAAUUUCAAAUUUAAAUUUCAAAUAUAAUUAUAAAUUUCAAAUUAUAAAUUCAAAUUUAAAUUUCAAAUUUCAAAUUUCAAAUUCAAAUUUCAAAUUUAAAUUUUAAAUUUCAAAUUUCAAAUUUCAAAUAUAAAUUUGAAAUUUCAAAUUUAAACUUUAAAUUUUAAAUAUUUUUUUUAAAUUUAAAAUUUAAAAUUCUAAAUUUUAAAUUUCAAAUUUUAAUUUUAAAUUUUUAUUUUAAAUAAAAUUUCAAAUAUAAAUUUUAAAAUUUAAAUUUUAAAUUUUAAAUUUAAAAUUUUAAAUUUCAAAUCUCAAGUCUCACAGUUCAAAUUUCAAAUUUUAAACUUUAAAUUGUAAAUUUAUUUUUUUAAACUUUAAAUUUUAAAUUUAUUUUUUAAAUUUAAAAUUCUAAAUUUCAAAUUUCAAAUUUCAAAUUUUAAAUUUUAAAUUUUUUUUUAAAAUUUUAAAUUUAAAAAUUUAAAAAUUUAAAAAUUAAAUUUAGAUUUUUAAAUUUUAAAUUUGAAAAUUGAAAAUUUAAAAUUUAAAAUUCAAAAUUCAAAAUUUCACAUUUCACAUAUCAAAUUUUAAAUUUUAAAUUUUUUUUGAAAUUUUAAAUUUUAACUUUUAAUCUUAAAAUUUAGAAAAAUCCUGUUAAAUUUACAAUGCGUAUCCAAACAGUUUAAAAAUUGAAUCUGUGAAAUUUUUUAGAGUUGCAGGAUUCUCUAUUUUAUCUAGACCGAAACCACAGUUUAUAAAUUCCGUGGAGAUAUUUUACUGUGUAUCCAAACAGGUCCUUAAUAUAUAGUAAACAACUGUUGAAACUCACAAUCUCAUUUUUACUUUCUACUUUGAUAUAUGAUCCAAAAUUUUCUCUUUACUAUGUGCUCUAUGACAGCUACUGCUGAAAGUGAAAAUAGAAGCAAGAUUAAAUAAGGGAAAACUUCAAAAACCCCCCUUGUGGUUUCAUUUUUUUUCAUUUUAGUACCCUGUGGUUUAAAAUGUAUCAAGUUAGUACCAUGUGGUUUCUCACUUUAUCACUUUAGUACUCUGUGGUUUAAAGUGUAUCUAGUCAGUACCGUGUGGUUUUGCACUUUAUCACUUUAGUACUCUGUGGUUUUAAUUUUGUAUCAAGUUAGUAUCCUAUAGUUUUUUAAACUAUAGAAUACUAAAGUGAUAAAGUGUGAAAUCACAGGCUACUAAAGUGAUAAAGUGCAAAACCACAGGGUACUAACUUGAUACACUUUAAACCACAGGGUACUAAAAUGAUAAAGUGAGAAACCACAGGGUACUAACUUGAUACACUUUAAACCAUAGGGUACUAAAAUGAUAAAGUGAGAAACCACAUGGUACUAACUUGAUACACUUUAAACCACAGGGUAUUAAAAUAAAAAAGUGUGAAACCACAGAAGGGAUUUUUGAAGUUUGCCCUUUAAUAAUCCUUAAGAGUAAAUUUGUUGAAUUGUUGUAGAAAAGUAUUGGUGAGAAUCUAUAGAAUAUAUUAUUUGACGAUUGGAUCACCCCAAAAAAAUACGUUGUGAGAGAGCCAUGUUGCCAAUUAAGCCAUAAACCAACGGAAGUUUGCCACGUUUCUAAUAAAAAUUUUGGAUGCAUCCAUUGCUUAAGUCGACUUUAAAAUUUACAUCAAAGAUAAAAUUUUUAAUACAAUAAAUUAUUUAAAUAUUUUAUGUUAUAUAUAUAGGGUUAAUUUGAUACUAAUAUAUGUGGAGGUGAUUUAUGUUUGUAUUAGUGGAGGGAAAAGGAUUAUAACGUUUUAGUGAUCUCGUACUAUUUGGAUUAUCUUUUAGAGAUGGAGUAAUGCUUCAUGAACCUUCCUAAGAUAGUUUGUUAUAAUAUUGUUAAUGAGUUAAAUUUUUCGUACUAGUUGGGAUUGCUAUGUUAUAUCUAGGUAAUUAAAUCUGCCCAAUUAAUUUGUUAUUAUGUAUAGAAAUAAAUAAAAGACUAAAUUAUAGAAAAAAUACUCGUUUUUUUACUUCCUCUCCGUAACUUUCAAAAAACCUAUGUUUUACUCCCUCAACAUUUCAAAUUGUUGCAUUUAGCCCCCCAUUUGUCAUGAUUCUAUCACCGUUCUAUCCAUUUCUUUUCAUUUAUAUUGAAAAUAUUCUUUAAAUGACAAAAUAUAUUAAAAUUUUAUUUUUUUCUUAUAGAAGAAAUAAUUUACGUUUUGAAAAUCGAAAAGUGAAAGCAAAAAAAUGAUAUUUAUAAAAGAAUUUCUGUAAUUUAGCCUAAAUAAAAUAAAUUUCUUUUUUUAUUUGAAAGAUAGGUAGCAUGCUAUCCGCUUCAUUUAUUUCAUUUAGAAAUAAACUUAAGAUGAGUUUGUAUCCUUGUAAAAUCUCUCCGAAAAAAAAAUUUUCGAUUGAAAAUUUUUUUUUCCCUUGUUUGGUUAUCUGUAAAAUUUUUUUUGAAAAAGUUAUUUUACAAAUUUCUCGGAAAAAAUCGAGUUUUCGUUUUUGGCCUUCUGCCUGCGGAAAAUGAAAAGCAAGAUGGAAAUGGUGCGGCAUUUGGCGUGGAGGGGAGCAGCGGAAUAGCGCGGUCCACGAGGCCACUUCGGCCUUGUGCACCGUGUGAGAGGGAGGUGGACCUCCCUCUCAUUAUAUAUAUAUAUAUAUAUAUAUAUAUAUAUAUAUAUAUAUAUAUAUAUAUAUAUAUAUAUUAUAUAUAUAUAUAUUUAUUUAUAUAUANNNNNNNNNNNNNNNAUAGGUGGCAACGGAGCCCGUUUGCUAUCGAUAGUAUUCUAGCUCAACUCUAUAUAUAUAUAUAUAUAUAUAUAUAUAUAUAUAUUAUAAUAAUAAUAUAUAUAAUAUAUUAAUUAUUAUAUAAUAAUAAUAUAUAUAAUAAAAAAUAUAUUAAACACGUUUUCAUCUAUUUUUCUUUUCUUUUUAACCAAAUAAUCAUUAUGAAAAUUUUUUUUUUUUUCUACAAACCAAACGCUAAACUACGAAAUUUUUUCAAUUUUACGUCAAACCAAACAGCCUCUUAGUUGAAAAUAUGAAUCAACUAAGAUUCGAACUUGAAAUCUUCGAAUACCAAUCACUAAAUUCUUUGUUACUUGCUCUCGGAACUGUCAAAAAAAUAAAUUUCUUAUGUAUUAUGUUGAUGCACCUUACGCACUCUACUUACAAUUCUAAACAAAACCUAAAGUGGUGCGUACUGAGGAAGUAUUAUUUGGGACAAUGAUUAAAUAACACUUUAUUCGGUAGCUGAGCCGAAAUGCUCGACAUAAGCAACCGAGCUUUGGAGAUUCUACUGACCAAAAUGCAGCAUUAGUAAUAUUGUUAUUUUCUUUUCUAAAAAUGAUAGAAUGCUAAAGAAAAAAAUAAUAAAGAUAAAUGCAAGAUUUUUGAAGACCUAUUCCAAUUAAUUAGUGAAUUUCACAUCAAUCAGUGAGCGGAAGAAUCAAUGUAAAUAUUCUUUUGCUGCCCAAGGUGGCGAAAUACCAGCUUAUUACAUGAUUAAAUACUUACUGACAGGGCUAUAUUUUUUUAUUCUUAUGAAAUACAGGACCUUCAACUGAAACAAUCUCACUCAUUAAUUAAAAUCACAGCUGAUCGCACUGCGCAGGAGCAAAAGAUAACUUCUGAUCGUCCAGAUCGUAGACUAUGUGCAUAUUCUGCUGCUGAAAAUUACCAAUUAUGGAGAUUUCGCUGCCGGAAUCGAACAUCGCCAAGCACAUUAAACCCACGCUGGAAUCCUGGAGCAUGUAGUUGUCGCGCGGCAGAUCCAUAUCUGCGCCUUCGAGGUGGAAUAUCAGCUUCGGCACGUCCACCUUUGCUGAUGGAGACGACGGCAGCGAGAAGCAAAGGUCGAAGCCCUCCGCGGUGCCGUUAGCCACGGGCAGCUUCACCUGCGACAAGAAGGCGCUCCUCACGAGCUUGUAAGCAACCGUGGUUAGCUGCGUGAAGGACGUUCCGGAGUCUAUGAACACUCCGCCAGUCCCGUUUUGCUGCAGGGCAAAUGCCGACCUCGGUAUCGGGAGACGGAUCGUGCCGACCGUUAUACCGUCGAGAGAGAGGUAAUAGUAGGUUGGCUGUGAAGUAUUCGUAACGAACGGAGUCGACUGGAUGUUAGUAGAGCUGCCGUUUAGAUUGGCAGCUGAUCCUAACAUGAGUGCGCUGCUCUUCGAAUCGUCGUCGUCGUAGGAAAUGAAGCAGUAUCCGAACUUUCUGACUCCUAACUGAGAGAUGAGAGACAAGGGCCCACGACCGAAGCCUGCGAUCCCAUUGAAGUUGCCCUGGUUUUGAAACCCGCAGCCGAAUCCGAGGUUCGGGACCGUGACGUUGUUAGUGGACCCAAAGGUGAAGGCCUCGCUGGCGAGAGUGCCGACGGUAAAUGAGUUGUCAAGGUAAUCGUAAAGAUAGAGGCAUUGCGCGUGGCAGGCGGAUUGAGGAAGAGCCUGGCAGAGCUUGCUGGAGCAGGGAAGCGGCGAGUAAGUGGCUGACUGUGAAGGAUCGUACAAAGGGAAGCUCUGGUUGGUGCACGAGAGGCAGGGCUGGCACUGAGUCCAGAUGAGAUCGCUGCCGGUGUCAAGCAUGAGCAGGAGAGGCUGUGCCGGCGUGCCAAUGGAAACUCCGAUGGUGUACUCAUAGGGAUUUGGCGAGACAGGCACGUCAGUUGCGGAGAUCGAAUUGGCAGAACCCCCCGCGGCCUUGGACACGAGCAUCGCACUCCGGGCCCUGCUUCGCAGCGCCAUGCGCUGCAGGAGCUCGAAUUUGGUGAAAUUCCGGCCCGCGUCGACAUGGGUCAGGUCCACGCGGAGACCGUCGAAGGCAGAGAUGGCCGGAGGGACUAGCGAGGCGAGGAGGAGGAGCACCAGAAUUGGCAGCAUAUUUUCGAAAGGUUUAACGGCAUACAUGUUGUGGUCUGAGAUACAGAGACUUUAUGUUUUGGGGAGAAAAUAUUUGUUAGAAUGUAUGUUUAUAUAGGGGGAUUUAGCAAGAAUGAGUCACUGUGAUAGCACAUAUUGUUAAAUUAUUUACAGUGUUUACCUUUUCUCGGUAUAAUAGAAGGACUCAGUUAACGCCCUCGUGUAUAUAUUUCAAACAAUGCCCUUUCAAUAUCUUGACAUGGUUUCUUGACAAGGUUCCCUUUCAAACAAUGCCCUUUCAAACAAUGCCCUUUCAAGCGAGGAACCUACGUUUUGUGUGGUUUAUCUUUGAAUGGACCUCAGGACUUAAAAUCAACAGAAAAAAAGUCCGAACUUUUCUAUAUGGGGAGGAAUGUGCAGAAGGGAGAAAUAUUAGCGGAAAUCUUAGGAUGUAAAUUGGGCUCAUUUCCGACAAGGUAUCUUGGGCUGCCGUUAUCGAACAGACGACUAUGCAGAUCGGAUUGGUGGCCAAUCAUCAAUAGAGUCGAACGAAGGAUAGAAGGGUGGCAAGCUAAACUUCUUUCGACCGGCGGCAGGCUUGUACUGGUUAACUCGGUACUCUCGAACCUGCCGCUCUACUUCUUCUUUAUCUUCAGAGCACCUAAAUGGGUAAUUAAACGAAUCGAAGCUCUGCGGAGGGCAUUUUUUUGGAAAGGAAGAAGGGAAGUAACUGGAGGCCAUUGCUUGGUUCGAUGGAAAACGGUAUGUAGGAACAAAAGAGAUGGAGGGUUAGGGGUGAAAGACCUAGAGACUAUGAAUUUAGCGCUACUGGCUAAGUGGUGGCGGAGGUUUUUAUCGGAUAAGACAACGUUAUGGAGAUCUUUCUUACGAGGAGGAUCUUCCUUAGGGAAGGGGCAACUUUUAGACCAUACUCACAAUGGUGGCAAAGCGUCCUGUCAACCUGCGACAUUGUCCGGUGCGGGGUUUCCUAUAUGAUUGGUGACGGUAGUUCAGUGAGCUUUUGGAGGGACCGAUGGUGUGCACAACUCCCAUUGCAAUCGAUGUUCCCUCAUAUCUUUAACACUGUAGUCACGAAGAACUACCGAGUGCGGGAUUGUUCAGGCAUCUAUGGUUGGCGCUGGUGGAGUAUAUUGCACAGGUUUACACCAAGCUCUCCCGCAAAUGAGGAAUCAGUUCAGGGGCUUAAGGAACUACUAUGCACCAUGAGUUUAGUAGAUAACAGAGACGAAGUAAGAUGGAGAUGGAGUCAAUCAGAAGUAUUCACAGUUAAAUCAUUGUAUAAAUUCUUGCAGGAGGGGGGAAGGGGGUGAUAGAGACGAACUUGGCGCCACUUUGGAGGACCAAAAUUUCGCUUAAAAUUAAAAUUUUCAGCUGGCUGGUGGUGAUGCGGAGGUGUUAACGAAGGAUAAUCUCUCGAAAAGGGGAUGGUCGGGAGAGCACACUUGUGCCCUCUGUUUGGAUGAACCAGAGAAUAUUGAUCACUUUAGUACCAUGUGAUUUCACACUUUAUCGCUAGAAUACUAAAGUGAUAAAGUAUUAUAGCUUGCUGGUGGGUGGUUUGGGAGACUAGGAAUGGAGUCAUUUUUGCGAAGGCCCAGGCGGAUCCGAUCCGUGGCACUCAUAAGAUCAAACACCUGAUAGCUCAAUGGGGUAGUGCUGAUCCGUAGAUUUGUAGUUAGAUUUUGUAGCCUGUAUAGAGGUAUCAGUUGUACUUUGCACACAACUUCUGUUUCCCUGUUUUCCUUUUUUUUUUUGUUUUUUUUCUCCAUCAUCCUAGAGGCCUUGAUGCCUCACCCAUGUUGCUUAAUUCACCUACUGUAUGAAUGAAGCGGGUAGCAUGUUACAUUUUUCUCACAAAAAAAAAAAACAUAAAAGAAUUGUCUAACUUUUUUGGAUAGAAUAGAUAUAAUAUUUCCACCUAAAAUUAAGGGUAUACUUUGCAUUUCUUUAAAUAUGAUGAUAAUGGAGUUCUAGAAGCAGAGGUUGACCCAGUGUAAUUGUAUUAUAUAUGGAAACAAAAAAUUGAAAAAAAAAAAAGAGUAGGAUGAACGAGCUUAAUUGGACCUUGUCUGCUUGUACAACGACUUAAUCAGCCCAGUUUCCAUACUAAACAACUCAGCUGUAAUUUAUUUAGUAAAAGUUUUGUAGUUAAAUAUAAAAAUAAGGUCAUCUUAAAACUUACUUAAGUUUUUAUAAAUUAUUGGUUAAUUAAUUGUAAAUUGACUUAAUGGCACGUGUUUGUCGCAGCUAGCGUGUACAGUUGUUUGUACAGCACGGUAGUUGUGCCUAAUAUGUGGAGUUGGAUUUACAUCUCGUAUUAGUCAGAGUAUCAUUGUAUUAGAUUCAUGUCAAGUAAUAGUAGCACCUAGCACGCAUGGGAAGAGUGUUAGUAUAGAAUGCUUAAUUUUUUUAUAUUGUUAUAACAAAAAUAAAAAAGAUUAAAUUUGUUGGGUGUGAAAAUAGAAACAGAGUAUUGAGGAAGAGAAAACAAAAUAAAGUAUAACAAAUAUUACGUGGUUCGGUUACUGACUUACGUCCAAGGUCUAGGUUAGAGGAGAAAUUUUUAUUAUAAUCAAAGCAGAAUAUAAAAAAAAUACUCUGUCACACGAGAAUCCUAGCCUUCAAAAUAUACAUAUACUCUCUCUUAUCAACCACACCAAAUUAAUAAAAUAAAAUAUAUAUUUAUAUUAAUAAUUAAAAUUUCAUAAAACUAAAAAUAAUUUUAAUAAGAUUAGAUAUAAUCUUAACGGAUUGACUAGAAAAGAAUAGGAUUAGAAUAUCUUAGGACGCGUUUGGUUCGAAGUCAGAAUCGAAAUCGAAAUGACUCAUUACCUAAUUCUAUUUGAUUCGUUAUCUGAAUCGGAAUAAGAAUAAAUCAUUCCCAUUGUCGGUGUUUGAUUUAGAUAGAUAUAAAAAAUGUAAUCAAAUUAAUAUAUUAACUUUAUCUUUAUAGAGUCCGGCUACUAUACUCUUAUGAGUACGAUUGUUCUCGUACUCAUUGUUUUCGGUGAUAGAGCUUCCGAAUCAACGAUCCACACUGCUAAACGUUAUCUAGAGCAUUUAAAACGUCUAGAAAUCAAAUUUUAUAAUUUUUCGACAUCAUUUACCUUACGAUCAAAAAAUUAUGAUUUCAAAAUAUUACGAAAUUUAUUAUGAUUUCAAAAAAUUACGAAAUUUAUUUUCUAGACGAUGAACUUUAUUAUGAUUUCAAAAAAUUAUGAAAUUUAUUUUCUAGAAAUUCAAAUACUCUAAAUCAUAUUUAACGAAGUAGAUCGUCAAUUCGGAAGCUCCAUCAUUGAAAACAACGUAUGAGUAUGAAAUGCUCUAUACUUAUAAGAGUAUAGUAGCCCUAGUCAUCUUUAUAAUUUAUUAAUUUAAAUUGAAAUUGAAAAUUAAAUAUUAAAAAUUUACAUCAAAAUUUUGAAAUAAUGUCAAAAUUUUAAAUCUAUUUUUUUAAAAAAAAUUAAAUUUUGAAGUUGAGUGGAUAAUUCAAAAUAUAAAACUAAAUUUUGAUUUAUUCAAAUUCAAACUUAAAUUAAAAUUUUAAUUUUAAUUUGAAUCCAUAAAUUUAAUUUAAGUUUUAAAUAAAAUUUGAAUAAUUAAAAAAAUAAAAUACUUGAUUAAAUUUUAAUUUUUAAUUUAAAUUCAAAUUAAAAUUUAAUAUUAUAAAUUUAAUUUCUAAAUUCAAACUCAUAUUUUAGUUAAAAAAAUUAAAAAAAUAAAUUUAAUCCUAAUAAAUAUCUAUUCCGUUUAGAUUCAACUUCUAAUUCGGCUUCUAGGCCGGAUUGAAAAUAGAGGUGAUUGGACGAUUCCCAUUCCACUCGAAAAUUUGAAUCGGAAUGGAACUCCCGCAUACCAAACACUCACAAACAGAUUCAUUCAUUCCAAUUCCGAUUCCAUGAUGAAAAAGAAGCGAACCAAAAAUGAUCUUACAGUUUUACAAUCCGAGAUAUAUCUAACAUAUGUAAUGCGGAGAGCAUUUUCAUCAAUUACUUUGAGUUUUGGGAUUGUUUUGAGCCUUUUAAUAACAAACAAUUGUUGACACUCAUCGACCGUCUCCGGUGCAAGUGGCAAAGUGCUUGAUGGUUUAAAUAGAUAGAAAUUUUCAAAUUUUACUUUUUAUAAGACUAAUUUGUACUAAUAGACAAUAAAAUAAGCUAAAUUAAUUUUAAGCCGUUGAGUUUUUGUAUGAUUUAAUAAAAAAAAAAUCCGGUUGGUUUGAGUAAAAUCAGAUCGAUUUGCCGGCCCAAUGGUUGAACCGUCAGUAUGAGCAGUUUAAGGUAGUCUUUUGAUCGAUUCAUCUGGUUUAAAAAAUCAAAUCACACUACUUUAUAGACUGGAUCGACGGAACAGGUCGACAACCCAGUUUUUAAAUCAUUGAAAAAUUCAACCGCAGGCACAAGAAAUGUAAUCCAUUAGACCAAGAAAAUUCGAUAUUAGAAACUUUCAGUACACUCGGUCAUGCAGACUCAGUUUUCAUGCUAAAGCCCCGCCUAUAUAAACAUGCCUCCAAAACAAUUAUUGGCUCCACAACUACACCUCUCUGUAUCUCAGACCACAACAUGUAUGCCGUUAAACCUUUCGAAAAUAUGCUGCCAAUUCUGGUGCUCCUCCUCGCCUCGCUAGUCCCUCCGGCCAUCUCUGCCUUCGACGGUCUCCGCGUGGACCUGACCCAUGUCGACGCGGGCCGGAAUUUCACCAAAUUCGAGCUCCUGCAGCGCAUGGCGCUGCGAAGCAGAGCCCGGAGUGCGAUGCUCGUGUCCAAGGCCGCGGGGGGUUCUGCCAAUUCGAUCUCCGCAACUGACGUGCCUGUCUCGCCAAAUCCCUAUGAGUACACUAUCGGAGUUUCCAUUGGCACGCCGGCACAGCCUCUCCUGCUCAUGCUUGACACCGGCAGCGAUCUCAUCUGGACUCAGUGCCAGCCCUGCCUCUCGUGCACCAACCAGAGCUUCCCUUUGUACGAUCCUUCACAGUCAGCCACUUACUCGCCGCUUCCCUGCUCCAGCAAGCUCUGCCAGGCUCUUCCUCAAUCCGCCUGCCACGCGCAAUGCCUCUAUCUUUACGAGUACCUUGACAACUCAUUUACCGUCGGCACUCUCGCCAGCGAGGCCUUCACCUUUGGGUCCACUAACAACGUCACGGUCCCGAACCUCGGAUUCGGCUGCGGGUUUCAAAACCAGGGCAACUUCAAUGGGAUCGCAGGCUUCGGUCGUGGGCCCUUGUCUCUCAUCUCUCAGUUAGGAGUCGGAAAGUUCGGAUACUGCUUCAUUUCCUACGACGACGACGAUUCGAAGAGCAGCGCACUCAUGUUAGGAUCAGCUGCCAGUCUAAACGGCAGCUCUACUAACAUCCAGUCGACUCCGUUCGUUACGAAUACUUCACAGCCAACCUACUAUUACCUCUCUCUCGACGGUAUAACGGUCGGCACGAUCCGUCUCCCGAUACCGAGGUCGGCAUUUGCCCUGCAGCAAAACGGGACUGGCGGAGUGUUCAUAGACUCCGGAACGUCCUUCACGCAGCUAACCACGGUUGCUUACAAGCUCGUGAGGAGCGCCUUCUUGUCGCAGGUGAAGCUGCCCGUGGCUAACGGCACCGCGGAGGGCUUCGACCUUUGCUUCUCGCUGCCGUCGUCUCCAUCAGCAAAGGUGGACGUGCCGAAGCUGAUAUUCCACCUCGAAGGCGCAGAUAUGGAUCUGCCGCGCGACAACUACAUGCUCCAGGAUUCUACCAUGGGUUUAAUGUGCUUGGCGAUGUUCGAUUCCGGCAGCGAAAUCUCCAUAAUUGGUAAUUUUCAGCAGCAGAAUAUGCACAUAGUCUACGAUCUGGACGAUCAGAAGUUAUCUUUUGCUCCUGCGCAGUGCGAUCAGCUGUGAUUUUAAGUGAGAUUGUUUCAAUUGAAGGUCCUGUAUUCCAUAAGAAUCAAAAUAUAUAACCCUGUUAAUUACUUAAUCUUGUGAUAAGUUGGUGUUUCGCCACCUCAGGUAAUAAAAGAAUUACAUCCAUUCCUCCACUAAGUAAUUGAUGUGAAAUUCACUAAUUGGAAUAGGUCAUCAAAAAUCCUGCAUUUAUUUUUAUUAUUUUUCCUUUAGCAUUUAAUCAUUUUUCCAAAAAAAAAAAAAAAACAAUAACAGUAAUGCUCCAUUUUGGUUGGUAGAAGAUCCAAAGCUCGAUUGCUUACGUCGAGCAUUUGGUUCAGCUAUAGAGUAUAGUGCUAUUUUAUCAAAUUAUAGUCCCAAGUAAUAUGUUCAGAAUAUAAACCAUUUUAGUUUUUUAUUUAGAAUUUAUAAUCUUACUAAUUGAGAAUCCAUACGAGCCCACUCUCCAUUGCACGGGCCGUGGGACCCACUCCUCUCUCUCUCUCUCUUUCUUUUUUUUCUUUUUUUUUUCCCUUAUUUUUCUUUUCUUCCAAACCUUUCUUAUUUUGGGGUUGUGGGACGGUUUACAUUGUUAUUAAGAAUUAAUUGCACCAUUGAUCUCCAACUUUUGUACUAUUAUUAUUGGUUCCAAAUAUGUUUUUGUAAUUAAAUUUUCAAUCUGUUAAUUCCAUUGCGAUUACAUCCCAGCCGUUAAAAGAGAUGUUAAUUAAACAAAAUUGCCAUGUUACUUAACUUUCUUUUGCAUGUCAAUUUUGGUCUAUAAAUUUUACAUAUUUUUUACUGUAGAAAUAAAAAUUUACAUUUUAAAUUUUAAAUUCAAAAUUAAUAAUAAAAUUAAAAUUUUAAACCAAUCAGAAAUUAGAAUUUUAAAUUUAAAUUUAAAGUUUGAAUUUAAAUUGAAAUAUGAAUUUUAAAUUGAAUCUAACUUUUGAUUUCAAACUUUAAUUUUUUAUUUUGAUUUUAGUAUUUAAAUUUACAUUUAAAUUUUAAUUUUAAUUUAAAAUUUAAAUAUGUAAUUAGAAUUUAAAUUUAUAUUUAGAAAAAUUAGAACAACUAUUUUUGAGCUAUCAAGUUGAUUUUUUAUUACUUUUAAUCAUUUCAGAUACUUUGCUCCAUAAGAGGAGAUACAAGAUAAUGGGCCAUUAGAGAGCUGCAUCUGAUACAUUUUCUUUAUACUUUUAAUAAGAAUUAUGAUAAGAUCUUUUGCAAUGUAAUUAUGUUUUCUAUAUUAAAAUAUUCAUUCAUAAAAAUAAUAUUCAAAUAUGAAUUAAGACUUUUGAAAUUGUGACUAUUGACUUGCUUGAUUGAUAAUUUGAAUGGUUCUUUAUAUUUUUGAAAUUAACAAAUUUGUAUCUUGAAAUGAGCGAAUUUAAUUUUUGCAUUUCUGUUUCUUCAAUGAUUUUUUUAUAUUGGUUUUUUUAUCUCCAGUUAAGUAAUAUUUUUUAGUUCAUAUGAGUGAUAUUUGCUAAUUCGCAUGCUAUUAUUUUUAAUCUCGAGCUAGAGAAUUUAUUUUUCCUAAUAUAUAAUAUUAAAAUAUUUAUUUUGGUAGUUGAACCUUUUUGCAAUAUAAAAAAUAUCUAUUUUGAUUUUUAAAUACCCUUUGAUUUGUUUUAUUUUUGGUGCUUCUUGUAAUUAUCUAUUGAUUUCUUCAGUAAUCUGAAAUUCAGAAAUCAAGUACUUUAGUUAACAAGAGUUUCCCUUCAUUAUCAUCGACGACAAUGGAGACGCUUCCACCAAGACUAUCAAAGAUAGUGCUUUCACUCCAAUUAAUUUUAUAAUAUUUUUUAUUUAUAAAUUCUAUGUUGAUGAUAAUAGAAAAUUAUUAUUCAUUUUUUUAAUAUUACAAUGAGCUUUUCUUUUAUUUUAACUGAUUUAUUCAUUUUAAUUAUUUGGUUUAGAUAUUUUUGAAAAGAAAUAUAUUUAAAUUUUUUUUGAAUUUUUAAUUAUUCAAUACUGAGAUAAAUAAUAUUUGAAUAUAUAUAUAUAUAUAUAUAUAUAUAGUAUAUUAGUAGUAGUAUAUAUAUAUAUAUAUAUAUAUAUAUACUACUUAUAAAAACGUGAGUUUUAAAUUUUUUCUCUUUCCAAAAAUGCCCCUAUCUUUUCUACUAAUAUUUUCAUGUCCAGUAAUUUUCAACUAUUCGUUUCAAAUAAUUUUUCAAAUAAUAAUUUAUUCUCAAAUAUAAAUAUUAAGUUUUUACCAUUGGAUCUCAUCCAACGAUUAUAAAUAAAAGUAGCUUUUCUUGAUAAAAAUACCCUCAAUAUCCGUUAUCUCCUAUCUACGCGUUUACAAAUAUCUACGCAUUUUCUCAAACAUAAUUUCCGCCGUAACUUAAAAUAUCCGUUAUAUCCUAUCCACAGCGUUUCUUAAAUAUUUUUGUUUCUCACACGUAAUAGCACCAAUCACAUAAUAAAUAAAAUUAAAUUUAUUCUAUCUACACAUUUUCUCAAACGCUUCAUAAAGUAAAAUAUUCAUUAUCUCCUAUUUAUGUGUUUCUCAAAUAUUAUAUUUCUCACACAUAAUGCGCCAAUCACGUAGAAUAUUACUAGAAAGAUUUAAUACCCACCUUACAGUCACGUAGAAUAUUAUUAGAAAGAUUUAAUACCCACCUAAGCAAAACUAAAUUGUUAAUUAAAUAUAAUUUUACAUUUUUAAAUUUUUUUAGUAAAAUAUUCAAAAGUAAUACUCGCUAAAAUAUUUUACGUGUUUUUCAAAUAUAGAGCAUAUCUUAAUGCACUCGCACAUAAUAUCUAUAUUAUCUAAUCUUUAUCUCAUCAUAAUAUUUAUUCAUACACAGAAUAUAUUUUUUUGAGACAUAUAUUUUCUUAGUAAUAUCUUUUUAAUUUUCAACUAUAUUUUUCUCAAAUAUUUUUUUUAGUAAUAUCCUUUCUCAUAUGUCCCCAUCGUUAGCACCAGUAUAUCAUAGCACAUCGUCAUCAUCGAUACCGGCACAUUGUCACUUUCACCACCUUCGUCAUAGUUAGAGAGGUAUUUUGAUCCUACCUGAAAAUUUUUUAUUUUUUUAAUGUGCAUUUAUACUAUUUCAGUAUAUUUUUUUGAUAUUUUCUUAUUUUUACGUAUACUACGUUCAUCAAAUAUAAAGCAUUUAUUUUUUUAAUAAUAUCAUUUUUCAUUUUUAUCUAUAUUUUCUUAUAUAUUCUCAAAUAUUUUUUUUAGUAAAUCCUUUUUUAUUUGUCACUGUUGCCGGCACCAGCACAUGGUCAUCGUCCUCCUCAUCGUCAUCGUCAUCACCGAUGCCGGCACAUUGUCGCCUUCAUCACCUUCGUCACAGGUGUUUUGAUCCCAGCUAAAUUUUUAAUAUGCUUUUAUACUGUUAUAGCAGCUUUUUAGUAUUUUCUUAUUUUUAUCUAUACGUUUCUCAAAUAUAAAGUAUAUAUUUUUUUAGUAAUAUCUUUAUAAAGUAUAUUUUUGUAGUACCCCUGAAAUUCAGCAUUUCAGGCUUGUCGACAGCUCUGGAGAGUGUCGGGACAAGUCCGAGUCCUGUUGGUGCGAAAUAGACGCAAACCGGACUCAAUACGACGCAAGAGCAGGAAGUUAGUAUUGGAAUCUGCAAAUUGCAGAUUUUCUGCAUUCUGUACCGGUACAAAAGAGUGUACCGGUACCUCUAUAUAAUUUUUCUGCGCAACUGCUCUCAGGUUUACCAUCUCUGUUGCAUGUACCGGUACAACAUCGAUGUUGUACCGGUACACCGGGGUAGGUAAAGGGUGUUUUGGUAAUUUCUUACCUCGUGGACUUCACCCUUAUCCCUUCCUUCUAUAUAAUGUUAGAGAGGCAGAGAGAGCAUUUCGGCUGCUGCUCCUCUCUCUCUCUAGGGUGGAUCCGUAUGGUUGAGGGAGGCUUCGGGUGGAGUUUGGAUCGACGCCGACGUUGCGCCGGGGAGCUGUUCGAGCACACGAGUGUCGUAGUUGCUGCGUUGGGAGGCCGGGCGAGCGUGUGAUUUCGCUGUUUCGACUUCGCGCCGGAUUUGGAGUAGCUUUCGAGGUGGGUUAAAGUGAUGUUACCGAAUUCUACAGGUUUCCUCCUAAUGCUAUAUAUGUCAACUGCAUGUAUUUGUAGCUUUGUUUAGUACUUUGUUUAGCUCAAUUCUUGGAAUUUCAUGCCUAUGAAUUGGAAUUGGAGCUUAGAAAAAUUAGCUAAAUAAUGCAUGUUGGAUUUGGAUUUGACUUAGGAGAAAACUGACGUUUUUACACCGCCAAAUGAGCAAACUACCAGAUUUAGGUUUAGAAGCCGUAAUUUGUCAGUAUCGACGCAGUUUGUGGGUGGUGGAUACCUAAAAUAGUGUAGAAUAUUUUUACACUCGUGCUGAGGUGCCGAGUGUAUUUUUAGAGCAGUGUUUAGGCUGUUCCGAAUUAUCGGGUGCCGUCGAGGUUGACGGUGGACCCAGAUUACUGUUUUUGCAUCAGAUUGUGCCGAGAACACGUGAGUUCAAUUGUUAGACCCUGUUUACUUGACUAUAGCCUGUGAGAGCCUGAUUGAGCUCGACAGAGACACGCUUGUAUACUCGGUUGGGUAGCGCCCACGAGUGCCACUCCGGAGUUGGGCUUUGUGCUUUUGUGUUGGUGUUGUUUAGUCCUGUUUGAACUUGCUCUCCAUUGACGAUCUGGUUUGAUGUCAGAUUGUGUAGUUUCGACAGGCGAGACGGGUGUGUUCACAAUCCCUAAUGCGAUUGGGUCAGGCUUUACUAUUUCCUACAGAGUGUUGGUGUUCGACCGAGAUAGUAUAGGUGCAUAUAGCUGUAGAUGUAUUACAGCUUUCUUACUAUACUUGUUUGCAUCUGUAGACUUAGUCGGUGAGCCGUUGAAGUCGGUAGCGGUACCCACUAAGGACUACUUCUUUUUGCAGUAGUUCUCACGCCCAGUUGUUGAAACCUUUUGCAGAGCCUUCUUCUUUGGCUGCUGCUGCUGUUGAUUCGGACCGUGGAAAGGGAGUCGCGAGUUAGAUUCCUUCCCAGUUGCUGCUGAGUUAGAGUAUACCAGCUAUAGGUAGUGGUAGUUUUUGAAUUCAUAUACAUACUUUUAUUGUUUCUCGCUGGAGCCAGUGUUUUGUACACCAGGAUGCUUGCAUGUAUAAUGAACUUCUAUUUUUAUAUAUAUCUUUUUUUCCUAGCAGCUCUAUACUACUAGUUGUAGUAUUGUUUGAUUACAGGUACAGCUGUCGUUUCGUAUACAGGAAAAGUUUCUUUGUAUACGGCGGAUUUGUCGGCGUGCCCGGGAAAACGAGUAAUCCGGGGCGUGACAAUUUUUUUAGUAAUAUCUUUUUAAAUAUUUCCUUUAUGACAGGUGCUAAUCUUUUCUCACAUAAUGUGCACGUUUUUUCAAAUAUUAUGAAAUACAUAUGAAAAAUAGUUAUACUAUAAAUUAAUUAAAAAUAUAUAAAAUUUAUUUAGAGAUAAAUUAAAGUUAAAAAAUAAUUAAAUAAUAAACAUAUACCACCAAUAACGAUUUAAAAUUUAAAAUAUAAAUAUAAAUAUAAUUUAAAAUUAGAUGUGACAUUUUGAAUUAAGAAUAAAUUAAAAUUUUUAUACUUUUAGAUUAAAAUAUAUAUCCAAUCUUCUAAAUCUCCUUUCUGACGAGUGACACUUGCUACCUAUCAUCUCAUCAUAAUUUUAAUACCUACGCGUUUCUCAAAUAUUGAGCCUAAUUAACAUAUAAUAUUUUCACUAUUUAACCUUUCAAUCUCCUUAUUCUUAUCCCAAUCUUAUAUAUACUUAUUCAUUUUAUUCAUUUUCAUACGUAAUAACCGUCACCUAUGCAUUUGUGCCGACACAACUUCGUUCUCACCUUUGCUAGCAUGACGUCGUUGUCCUCACAUUGCAUGUAUAUCGACAGAAGUUCACGAAUCAUGUCGGCGUUGUUGAUGCUACCGACAUGUAAUCGAUGGUCGAGAUACAUGCGUAUGCGCAUUAUUGGUGGUCGGCAAUCUAUGCGUUGACAAUUCAUAUAAAUAUCAAUCUAAAAUACUCUCCCUCCUCCUAUAUCUAUUGUUAAUGUUAUUUUUUUUUUGGAUUUUUCUUUCUUUUCUAUUCAUAAUAUAUCUUUUUUUUAAGUAAUUUAAUUUUUAGUUAGAUUUACUUUUUUUUAAUUAAAGAUCUCAAAGCCUCAGCCUAAUUAUUUUUCUUUUCAUUAUCUUUAAUUUCUUCCUAAACAAGUUUCAUAAUUAAAUUAAAAUUAUAUUUCCGCUUUUUAGUUAACAUAUUUUAAUAAUAUGAUUUUUCUUUACAUAUAAUAUACGAAUUAUGCUACUAUACUAUCAAUAGUACCAAACCCUUGAUACUAUUGAGUUUUCGGCCGUUGGAUAAAAAGAUGUGCGGUUAGAAUGAUAGUGGUCCCUGGUUAAAUUGAUAGUGGUCCCCUAGGGUUGAGUGGGUGGUUGGUUUAAUAGUAUAAUCUAACGGGUGGAAAUGAUCAAAAGGUAAAUUUAACGAUAGAAAACUCAAUAGUACCAAGAGCUUGGUACUAUCGAUAGUAUAAUAGCCGAACUCUAUAAUAUACUAACAUCUUCUAUUAAACUUUAAUAUAUAAAUAAAUACUACAUUAAUUGGCUAUCACCUGCACAUACCCAAUGUAUACAAAAGUAUACCACACCUCUAAAAAGCUCAUGAAUUUAAAUUAGAAUUCAAUUUAUAUUCUAUGAAAUUAAAAAAAAUUACAAAAUUCAUAAAUAUAAUCAUGUCUCUAUGACAUUAUAUAUUUCGAGCAUCUACUUACCAAAUUCAUCAACUUUUUUUAUAUUGUUAAUUUUUAUGUUCAUUUAAUAUCUAGAUAUUAUGAUUUUAAAAAUUUAUAAAUUUUAAUGUAUAAUUUUUUAAAAACAAAUGUUAAAUAUUGAAUGUCGUGUAUAAAAUAUGUACAUUGAGUACAAGAAAAAACUUCUCAAAAUAUGAACGAUAUGAUUCAAAAUUCUCCUAAAAUUGUAUUAAUAUUUUUACAAUCUUCUUCAAAUCAAUUUGUAUAUAUAUAUAUAUAUAUAUAUAUAUAUAUAUAUAGAGAGAGAGAGAGAGAGAGAGAGAGAGAGAGAGAGCUAGGCUGGUAUACUAUCGGUAGCACGGAGGCUUCCGUGCUACCAAGUUGUUUUCAAUGAUGCAGUUUUCAAAUCGACAAUCGGCUCCGCUAGACUUGAUCUACACUAUUAAAAGUAUUUGGAAACUAAAUUUCAUAAUUUUUCGGCAUUAUUGGGUUAGUGAUCAAAAGAUCUCAAAAUUGACAAUUUUAAUGGUAGAUGUGAUGCGUUUGUGAAUUUAACGGUGUAAAACACUCCAAAUCUGAUGAAAUUUUUAUAGAAAAUUUUUUUCAUUAUUUAGAGAAAGAUCAAUACCUCUGAUCUUAAAUUUAAGUCUUUUAUCAUCAUUUUUUAUGAGAUUUUUAUUUUCAGCCAUUUAUUUUUAAACUACUCGUUUGAUAGGUAAAUGAUGCUGAAAAGUUAUGAAAUUUAGUUUCCAAAUACUUUUAAUAGUAUAGAUCAAGUUUAACGGAGCCGAUCGUCAAUUUGGAAGCCGCAACAUUGAAAACAACUUGGUAGCACGGAGGCUUCCGUGCUAUCCAUAGUAUACCAGUCUAGCUCUAUAUAUAUAUAUAUAUAUAUAUAUAUAGAGUUGGACUGGGCUACUAUUAGUAGCAAAAUUCUAUUGUUGCUACCAAUUUUUUAGCAUUUGGAUCAAUUCUUUUCAUCAUUUCUAACCAUUGGAUUAAAUACUAUAACCCAGUGGGGACCAUUCAACCCUAGGGGACCACUCAAUUCUAACUGACUAAUAUCAUCCUAAUCCUACAAUUUUUCAUCCAAGGGUUAAAAACUUGAUAGCAAAAAGAGGAUUUUACUAUUAAUAGUAUUCCAGUCUAAUUAUAUAUAUAUAUAUAUAUUUUAGGGUAUACAAAAUUAAUGAUAGUAAUAGAUGAUAAGUGAAUUUAUGUUUUUCGCUAAUUAUGUAUUAUAGAUUAUUUUUUUAAUAUAAAUAAAUUUUAGGGUAAACUUCAAAUACCCCCUGUGGUUUCACACUUUCUCACUUUUGUACCAUGUGGUUUAAGUGUAUCAAGUUUGCCCUUGUGGUUUCACACUUUCUCACUUUAGUACCUUGUGGUUUACACCAUUUCUCUUUGGGAGAAAGCGGAGAGGAAGGAGGAAGAAGAAAGAAAGAGAAAUGGUAUACAUUUUAUCCAAAGAGUGUAAUUUUUAUUCCAAAAAGUAUAAUUUCUGUCUCAAAAAGUGUGACUUUUAUUUAAAAUAGUACAAAAAAUUUUUGAAACAGUGUAACUUUAUUUUAACAGCACAAUUAUCACGCCCCGGAUUACACUUUUUCCGGGCGCGCUGACAAAUCUGCCGUAUACAAAGGAAUUUUCCCUGUAUACGAAGCGAUAGCUGUACCUGUAAAUCAAACACUACUACGAACAGUAGUAGAGAGCUGCUAGAGAAAACAGAAGCUAAACAAACUGAGUUUCAUAUACAUAGUCCAAAUCCAAAAUACAAAGCUACUCGCACUGGCGAGUUAAGUCCACUAUGUACAUAAACUCGAAACAAAACAUCUAUCUGCAGUAGGGGCACCUCUAGCUCAGCACGUCGGGUAGGGCUCUAACUCGCGAGGCCCUUGCCUCGAUCCUGAUCCGCGGAAGGCGCAGCAGCCGAAACCUGUGGCUCUGCAAAACAGAGGUAACAACUGGGCGUGAGAACUACUGUGAAAACAAAUAGUCCUUAGUGGGUACCGCCCAAAACAAUAUCGGUCCACCCACUAAGUCUACAGAAGGGAGCAAGAAUAGUCAGAAAAGCAGGAAAUAAACUCUACCGCUAUCGAUCACUACACUAUCAUGCUCUACACUAACCAACUGUAGGAAAUGUCCAAUCUGACCCAAUCCAAUCGGGACUGUAAGCAUACCCGUCCCCGGGACUGUGAAUACACCCGUCCCUGCCCCGUUGCGACUAUCGGGCUCUAUCCACACUAACUGGUCCGUGGAGAGCAAGUCCAACUGGCAUGAGCGACACCAACGCAAAAGCACAAGCCUGACUCCGGAGUGGCACUCGUGGGCGCUACCCAACCGAGUAUGCAGCGUAUCUCUGUCGAGCUCAAACAGGCUCCAACUAGCCAAAGUCAAGUGAACAGGGUCAAAACAGGUCUACAAACCAAACCCACGUGCCCUCGGCACAAUCUGUGACCAAAACAAGAAUCUGGGUCCACCGCUAACCCGAACGGCACCCAACGACCCGAAACAGCCUAAACUCUGCUGAAAAAUAAGCUCGGCACCCCAGCACGAGCGUAAAUGCCUUCUAAACUACCCUAGGUAUCCAUCGCACUGAUACUGCAACGAUAUAAUCGAACCACGGCUCCUAGAGCUAAAUCUGGUAGUUUAAGCAUAUGACGGGUCAAAACGCAGGUUUUCUCCUAAGUCAAAUUUCAAGUCCAACAUGUAUAAUUUAAAUAUUCAUUUCAGCAUGCUUCUACAUUUAUAUUACAUUCAAGAUGCUAAUCGAUGAAUUAAAGCAUGAUAUACAAGAAUCGAACUAUACAUAUCGACUAAACACGCACUUAGGAGCGAAACCGAUGAUAACCCACCUCUAAUGCAAAUCCUGGCAGCAAUAGGGUCACUCAGCUACGGAACACUCUGUCGGAACCAGGCGCAUCUGCUAUCAGCCAGCAAAGGUCCACAAUCAGGAUCUAAACAUCAAUUCCACUAAAAUCCACUAAAAAUUCCAAUUUCAGCACUUAAGCUUGGAUUUCUCUCCACUCCAAUGUCAAAACUCACCUAAUGAUCUCCAAUUCGGGUGAGGACAGAUCCAAAUCCAGCCACUACUGAUGGGUGAUCAAUCUCAGGUCCAAAAUCCCACUGCCAACAAAGAUAGCAUCAAGAAAAGCUCAAAAAUCCCAAUUUCAGCAAAUAGUCAACAACAGUCCAGAAAAACUUGAGUUUGACUGAGCUAACCUUCACCAAAUUCUGCGAGAUAGGGCUUCGUGGAUUCCUCUGAGAGUCAAAAAUCCAGCAAACCAAGUUUCAUCGGAAUCCGAUCUUCUUACGUCGCGCACGAGCCAAAACACUGGAGGUCGUCGCUGAAGAACUGCAGAAUCAGCACCUUGCAAUUCUUGGAGAUGUGGAUCUUGAUGCAAAAUGGAAAGAUUGGAGGGAUUUGGGAUCAAAAUCUAAGUUCUCUGUGAAGAACAGGUAAAAGAGCUCAAUAGGGACGCAUACAGGGUAUUUAUAGGCUACUGGAGGGAUAAGAUAAGCCCCAAGAGAAAACAGCUGCUAACUAGAGUUCAUGCAGAAACGGGCGUUUCUGGGCGCCCGGAACCAUGUUCUGGGCGACCAGAACAUCCCGACUGCACAAACCGGGCUCCUCGGACUCUCCGCUCGCGGUGUGCUGCGCCCGUAAAUGGCUCCGGCGGAACUCACCUACCGCUUGCCACGCGUCGAAGCAAGCGAUAUUCACGAUGUCGAAUUUCCGGACCCACAUCUGGGCGCCCGGAACAUGGGAUCCGAAUUGGCUUCCAGUUUCAGUUAAAUUCAACACUCGUUUUUGGGCGACCCUAAACAUGUUCUGGGCGCCUGAAUCUGGCAAAACUCCAGUUUUGCUUAUUUGAGUGCGUCGAGUCCAAUUCUGCAUCCAAUUCAUGCUGAAUUGACUCCGACUCAGUCCGACACUCUCCAGAGAUGUCGACCAGUCACUAAUACUGAAGCCAACCCUAUCCAAAGCUCAGGAACACUACAACAAUUUUACCUUUUUCUUCCUUCUUCUAUUAAUUUUGGUUUUUCUUGUAGGAGAAAAAAAAAAUUUUUGUUUUUUUUUUCUUUCUACAAUUUUUUUUUGGGUCACGACCUCUCCUCCUCCCUCACCGGCGUGCUUCUCGGCUCCGAGAAGCACUUCAUCUUCAUCCCCAACGGCGGCGGUGGGGACGGCAGGUAGAAAAUCUGCUGCAGUGGAGGUAGAGGGCGAAGGCGGAGGAAGAGGACACGGUAUUGUCCUCGCUAUCGUCACAGACGGCCGCAGAGGCGGUGGAGGAGGCUCAGAGAGAGAAAAAAAAAAAGAAAGUCGCAGCACGGACUCGGUGAGGUCGGAGGCGAGAAGGGUGGGGGGUGCGUGGGCGAGGGCGUGAGGGCAAGAAGGGUAGGGGGUGCGCGAGCGAGGGCGUGAGGGGCAGAGACGAGGCGGGCCGUUUCAGCCUUUGCCUCCGCUACCUUCUUCAGAGAAAAAAAAAAAAAAAAACGAGAGAAAAAAAAGGAGAGAGAAAAAGAUAUAAGAAUAUUUUGGUUAGUUUGUUGAAAAUUUCGACUGAAUUUGCAAAAUCAAAAAAUACGGCCUAAUUUUGCAAAAGCUCAAAACUUUUUUAGGACCGUAUAUGAAGUAUUACUCCAUUUCUAAAUGAUAAUCCCCAAAUAGUACAAGAUAGCUAAAAAGUUAUAGUCCUUUCUUUUCCCUUCACUAAUACAAACAUAAAUCACCUCUACAUAUAUUAGUAUCAAAUUAAAGCUAAUGCUACCAUUUAGAAACCAAACUAAGUCACAGCUGAUCACAUUGAGCAUGAGCAAACCCCAACCCAUUCUUCUCCAAAUCAUAUUCGAUCCACGUAUUUUGCUGCUGUAUGUUCCCUAUUAUAGAAACUAACAUCACUCCACUUCGACUACGAUGCAAUUAAGCACAUUAAUCUACCGCCUUCGUCUAAAUCAACCACGUAAUUAUCUCGCAGUACGUCCAUAUCCGCACCUUCGAAAUGGUAUAUAAGCUUGGGCACUUCAAUUCACAAAUAAGAAGAUAUGGACAUUGAGAAACAGGCACCAAACGUUCCUGUAGAGUCGUUGAUGACACUGAGCUUUAACUGAGAUGCAAAUGCGGAUUUUAUCCGAUCGUAUGCGAUCCGGUUCAAUCAGUUAAAGCCGUUGCCAGAAUCUAUUAUUACUCCACUAUUGCCGGUUUCUUUUAUAGUGAAUGCCGACUUUGGUAUUUUUAAGCUUUUUUUUCCGACCGCUAUUCCGUUGAGUGAGAGGUAGUACAAGUUUGGCCUUAGCCGGUUUUUGAUUAGUGGAGUGGUUUUGGAGGAUCCACUUCGGAUUCUUUUUGGAUCCGCUAAGGCCCCAAGUAGUAGGGGACUUCUUUUGUAGUCGUGUAUGGCAGUGAAGCAGUAAGAGAACCUUUUAAUUUUUAGCUGAGAGAUUAAUGACAAGGGUACGCGGCCAAAACCGGCAAUGCCGAAUUCAAUUAAGAAUAUCCUUUGGUUCAAGAUCCCACGUGUUCGAACCCGAGACGGGGGAUUUUGACCUAACCUUCCUAAAAAAAGUUUGUCAUUGUUAAUGAGUUAAUUUUGCACCGGUUUGAAUGCUUGAUUUUUAACUUCUCAGUGCGAUUGCUAAAUUAUAUCUAAGCAAAUCUGUUCAAUUUGCAAAACAUUGUUAUUAGCUAGAUGCAAUUGUUUAUAUACUCCUGAAAAGUUCCCGACUUUCUGAUUUACCUCUCUUAAAAGCUAAUAUUAAAAAUACCCUUUCUACGUUCCAACCUAUUUCUAACAUACUCUAGAGUUAAAAUCUGUUAAUGAAUUUUAUUAUCUCUGUAAAAUUACUAUUUUGCCCUUUCAAAUAUACUUUUCCACCAUCACUGACUUUCUUAUUUGUCCUUAAAGUCAGGGGCACAACAAGUAUUUUGACUUUUGGUCUUUUCCAAUAUACCCUACUACCGUCACCAACAUUUCUUAUUUGCCCUUAAGUUAAGGACAAAAUUGGUAUUUUAAUUUUUUUUAAUUGUGGUAUAUAUUUAACUCAUGUUUAACCCAAGUUAACUUAACAGGAGAUAACUGCGGAGGUAUUUUGCAAUAACGGUAAAACAUAUGAGGGGUAUUUUAGAAAAAAAAAAGGUAAAUCGAAUAUUUUUAAACGUAUAAGGGGUAUAUAGUUAAUUAUCCCUUGUUAUUAUAUAUAAAAAUAAAUAAAAUAAGUUUCUUUCAUAUUUUGUCAUUGCACCUAAUGCACUCUACUUACAAUUCUAAAAAUCUAAAGUAGUGCGUGUUUUGGAAGUAUUACUUGGUGUCGAAUCGUGGAUGCUAACUAUUAAUCCCAAAAGCUCAAGCUGUUAGAAAUAUGCAGUCAAUUUACUUAAAGCAUAUAGAUGCAACGUCCACAGGUCUCGAUUAUAACUCAAUCUAAUCGGUCUCACGUCAUUUCGAACAUGACUCGGUCCAAUCCAAUCUUACGUCAUUCCGAACAUGACUGAGCCCAACCUGGCCUUCUGCCACAAGGCAGAAUGUUGGCACAUUUAAGUCAAUACUUGGGAUUAUACUUUGAUCACAUAACACUAUACUCGCUCUCCAAUACUUUUUUGUUUUUGGCCGGUCCUCUUUGAGGCCUAACUGCCUCGAUUUGUAUAGUUAAAUUUAUUAUCCUAAUAAAUAAAGCAGAUGGCGUGCUAUUUUUCUCUUAAAAAAAAAAAUACUAUACUCUAUAGCACAAAAUGCUCGACAUAAGCAAUCGAGCUUUGGAAUAUCUACUAACAGGGCUAUAUAUAUUUUUUUUAUUAUGAAAUACAGGACCUUUCAAUUGAAACAGACCUUCAAUUGAAACAAUCUCACUCAUUAAUUAAGAUUACAGCUGAUCGCACCGCGCAGGAGCAAAAGAUAACUUCUGAUCGUCCAGAUCGUAGACUAUGUGCAUAUUCUGCUGCUGAAAAUUACCAAUUAUAGAGAUUUUGCCGCCGGAAUCGAACAUCACCAAGCACAUUAAACCGACGCUGGAAUCCUGAGGCAAGUAGUUGUCGCGCGGCAGAUCCAUAUCUGCGCCUUCGAAGUGGAAUAUCAGCUUCGGCACGUCCACCUUUGCUGAUGGAGACGACGGCAGCGAGAAGCAAAGGUCGAAGCCCUCUGCGGUGCUGUUAGCCACGGGCAGCUUCACCUGUGACAAGAAGGCGCUCCUCACGAGCUUGUAAGCAACCGUGGUUAGCUGUGUGAUGGACGUGCCGGAGUCUAUGAUCACUCCGCCAGUCCCGAUUUGCUGCAGCGCGAAUGCCGACUUCGGUAUCGGUAGACGGGUCGUGCCGACCGUUAUACCGUCGAGAGAGAGGUAAUAGAAGGUUGGCCGUGAAGGAUUCAUAAUGAACGGAGUCGACCGGAAGUUAGUAGAGCUGCCGUUUAGAUUGGCAGCUGAUCCUAACAUGAGUGCGCUGCUCUUCGAAUCGUCGUCAUCGUAGGAAAUGAAGCAGUAAGAGAACUUUCCGACUCCUAACUGAGAGAUGAGAGACAAGGGCCCGCGACCGAAGCCGGCAAUCCCGGAUUCGUUGUUGAAGAUGCCCCCGUUGAGAAACCCACAGCCGAACCCGAGGUUUGGGACCGUGACGUUGUUAGCGGACCCGAAGGUGAAGGCCUCGCUGGCGAGAGUGCCGACGGUGGUUGAGUUGUCGCCGUAACUGUAAAGAUAGAGGCAUUGUGCGUGGCAGGCGGAUAGUGGAAGAGCCUGGCAGAGCUUGCUGGAGCAGGCGAGCCGCGAGUAGGUGGAUGACUGUGAAGGAUCGUACAAAGGAAAGCUCUGGUCGAAGCACGAGAGGCAGGGCUGGCACUGCGUCCAGACGAGAUCGCUACCAGUGUCAAGGAUGAGCAGAAGAGGCUGUGCCGGCGUGCCGAUGGAAACUCCGAUGGUGUACUCACCGGCAUUCGGCGAGACAGGCACGUCAGUUGUGGAUAUCGAAUUGGCGGAACCCCCCGCGGCCUUGGGCGCGAGCAUCGCGCCCCGGGCCCUGCUUCGGAGCGCCAUGCGCUGCAGGAGCUCGAAUUUGGUGAAGUUCCGGCCCGCGUCGACGUGGGUCAGGUCCACGCGCAGACGGUCGAAGGCAGAAAUGGCCGGAGGGACUAGCGAGACGAGGAGGAGCACCAGAAUCGGCAGCAUAUGUUCAGAGGGCUUAACAGCAUACAUGCUGUGGUCUGAGAUGCAGAGACUUAUGUUUUGCGAAGCUUACACUUGUUUGGAGGAAUGUUUAUAUAGUGGGGGAUUUAGCAAGAAUGAGUCUCCUUUAUGGCGAAUAUUGUUGAAUUAUUUAGUGGUGAACUUUUCUUGGUCUAAUACAGGGACUUGCUUUACGCGCUAUUGUAUAUAUUUCCAAAUUUUGGGUCUCAAUCGCCCUAUAUAUUUCCAAAUUUUGGGUCUCAAUCGCCCUAGUGAAGAGGAUUAGCACGAACACAUUAUACAUAUCUUGACACGGCAAAAUUAUGCGUGGCUAUUAUUUUUUUCGUUUAUUUUAUUUAAAGGGAUAAUUACUUAUAUACCCUUCAUGCGUCUAGAUUGGUUACUAUAUGCAGUUUUUCCUUUCUAUUAUGCCUGAUUAGUCCUAGUGAGAAAGUCGGUGAUGUUGGGGCCGAACCCACUGGGAACUUUGUUGUAAUUCUCACCCCACUAUUUUCACAGAGCCGGGACCGAGCGAGCCCGCGAGCGACCGCGGUAAAGGUAUCGCGCCUUAGUCAAAAGCCACCCCAGUCAGGCUUGUAUUUUGUUAGUAGUUACCCUUUUAUCAUCUUUUGUACUAGAUGAUUAAUGAUGUAAAGAAAAGAAGUAAAGCUCUCUUUUAAGGUAAAUGUGAUGUAAUAAAAAAAUGAUGUAAUAAAAUGUAAGGAAUUUGAAAAUGUACAAGUUGGACUUGAUGUAUAUGAUAUAAAUUGAAUCAUAGUACAAGUGAAUGUUUAGUUUCCUUUCUUUCACUCAUGAUUAUUGCCUACCCUCGUAUAAGCCGUAUUUGUAUGUUUCCGCUAGUGCACUUCUUGUUUGAAAUUGUACAUGUGAUGAGCCUUGGGCGGACAGAAGAAACUCUAUCUGUUCGGCGUCUGUUUGACGUGCUCGGGCUAGCCCAAAUCGGUAUCAGUCCCAGGGCGUGACAUUCACGUUUUAUCAAGUUCUUAUAGUCUAGGUCAUGUUUAAUUACGCUGAUCGUCGAUUUAGAAACCCUUUCACCGAAAAAAAUGCCUAUACCUUCUUAUUUGUGAGUCGAAGUGCAUGCCCAAGCUUAUAUACCAUUUCGAAGGUGCGGAUAUGGACGUACUGCGAGAUAAUUACGUGGUUGAUUUAGACAAAGGCGGUGGAUUAAUGUGCUUAAUUGCACCAAAGUCGAAGUGGAGUGAUGUUUCUAUAGUAGGGAACAUACAGCAGCAAAAUGUGUGGAUGGAAUAUGAUUUGGAGAAGAACGAGUUGGGGUUUGCUCAUGCUCAAUGUGAUCAGCUGCGACUUUUUUUUUUUAUUAUUUGAGAAAUAGAUAGCAAGCUGCCUACUUCAUUCAUUAACCUAAAUGAACUGAGCGUAUAUGUUGGAAGCAGCUAGGGCUUCCGAAAGAACAAGCUAAAGGGGCAAAAAAAAUAGGCGAAAGAACAGACUAAAGCCGAGAAACAGAGACGAAAAGAAAAGCAAAGUAAAAAGGGAAAGAAAGUACAUCAUGUCAGAGCACUGCAGCCCAGUUACUCGUGAGGUGUUUGACGUAAUCUAGCGACCGGGAAGCGUUGCGUAACAUUCCACCAAAGAUAGUUCCUAUCCCUUCAGACCACCCAUCAGAUUGCCGCCAGAUAAGUCAAGCCUUGUGACCUCUUCCACUCGACAGGGCUGGGAUCAGCUGUGACUUAGUUUGGUUUCUAAAUGGUAGCAUUAGCUUUAAUUUGAUACUAAUAUAUGUAGAGGUGAUUUAUGUUUGUAUUAGUGAAGGGAAAAGGAUUAUAACUUUUUAGUGAUCCCGUACUAUUUGGGGAUUAUCUUUUAGAAAUGGAGUAAUGCUUCAUGCACGGUUCUAAAAAAGUUUGUUAUUGUUAAUGAGUUAUGUGUAGAAAUAAAUAAAAUAAAUUUCUUUUAUAUUUUGUCACUAUACUUGCACAUUUUACUUAUAAUUUUAAACAGAAACUAAAAUGGUAUAUAUUCUGAACGUAUUACUUGGGACUAUAUAUAGUUUGAUGAAAUAACACUAAACUCUAUAGCUGAAUCAAAAUGCUCGACGUUGUUCGGAUAAAAAAAUAAAAUAAAAUAAAAUANCAAAAAAAAAAGAAAAAGAAGAAGAAGAGAGGGCUUGUAAAAAGAAGAAAUAAUAAUAAUAAAAAAUUUCACCUUUUUUCUGCUCGUAUAAACACACACAGCGAAAGGUGGGGGGCACUUUGUUCGAAUUUAAAAAAAAAAGAAUAAAAUUACAUUCAACUUUUCUUCCUUUCUUCAAAAAAAAAAAAAAAUCCCUCUUGUUUCCAAAAAAAAGGGAAAGAAAAAAAGAAUUACCAAAAAAAAAGGGAACGAAAAACAAAGGAAAGAAAAAAAAAGAAAAGAAUAAAAAAUAAAAAAAAAAGAAGAGAGAAAGGAAAAGAAGAGAGAAAAGAAAAGAAAGCAAAAAAUAAAAGAAGGAAAGAAAAAAAAAGUUUUUGUUAUUUCAAAAUAAAUAAAAAAAGGAAAGAUAUCUAAGAGUAGUAUUAAAUACUUAAAUUUCUUAUAAGAUGUAAGGAAUAAUAAAAUUUCCUUUGUAGAGAUUUAUUUUGAAUUUUUUCUAAAAAUAAUAACGAUUUUUGAAUCCCUGUAAAUUGGAUUCAAGAUGUAAGUAACAAAAAAAAUUUUGAGUUUUUGCAAGAAGGAAAAAAAGAGAGCUUGAGAAAAACAGUAAAAAAAAAGAGAGAGAAGAAGGACAAAAAGAAAGAAAGGUAAAAAAAAAAAAAAAUUUCUCUUUUCUCCGCGCGUAAAAAAAUUUGUUUCUCUUUUCUCCACGCGUGCACACAGGUCUUCACCCUCUGCCCUCCUCUGUAGGCCGGCAGCAAAAAAAAAAAAGUAAGGCUUAGCUCUUUCAUUUUUGUGGCGGCGCGGCAACGAUGACUUCGACGACGGCAUGACAACGACGAUUUCGACAACGCGCAAAGAGGCCAUAGGGCCUCUUUUCUUUUUUUUCUUUUCUACGAUGGUGAUAGAUUUAUUUAUUCGUGAAAACGGUGUAGUCGCAAUUUUUAUGUCGGUUUGAUCAGCACGACCGUCUUCGUAAUAGGUUGACCCGAUCAAAUUCGGCAUUGAAUCGUUACUAUAUCAUGCGCGCGUAUUUAUUAAGCCCGUCUCCUCAACAGACAUAAGCAAUCGAGCUUUGGAACUUCUACUAACCAAAAUGCAGCAUUACUGUUAUUGUUUUUUUUUUGGAAAAAUGAUUAAGUACUAAAGGAAAAUUAAUAAAGAUAAAUGCAGGAUUUUUGACGACCUAUGCCAAUUAGUGAAUUUCACAUCAAUCAGUUACUGGAAGAAUCAAUGUAAUUGUUUUAUUAUCUGAGGUGGUGACAUCUAUACUCUUAUAUGAAUCCCCAAUAUCAAAUGAUGAUGUGGCAAGCUCUCAUUUUUUCAUUUUUUUAAUUAUUUUAUUUUAUAUUUUAAUUAUUUCUUUCUCAUCUUCUUUAACAUCUAACUCUUUAACUUCCAAUAACAUCACCUUCCAAAAGUUCUAACUCUUCUUCUCUUCUUUAUCGUUCACCUCUUUACCUUCCAAUAACCCCACUUCUCUCUCUUUAUUAUUGUAUUUAAUUAAUAAUUAAUUUUUUCUUCCCCCCAUGUCUCCAUUAAUCUCUUCGUUCUUCAACUCUUGCUAAAUCCCUUUCAUCCUCUCCCUCUCCCGUAAAAGUCGCUCGCUUUCAUCACUGUAGCAUCGCGUCAAGUUCAUAGAAUCCAUAGAUUCCGUCGUGUAUUUGGUGGGGAUGGCAGUGGUGGUAGAAGAUGAAGAUCUUGGAUGCGGCGGCAGCGGUAGCGACAACAGAAGUGGAAGAGAGUAUAUGGAUAUAUAGUCAACUUACUAUUGAUAGUAUAUAUAUAUGGUGAUAAUCAAGUAAUCAGGAAUUUUUUGUAUUUUACUUUUUCUUUAAUGUUUUUUUUUUCAACUACCCUAUCUAUUAGCUUUUUUCAAUUUAUUUUAUAGUUAUUUAGAUGUAUGUAAAAUUGUUAAACAAUAAGCUGAUAGAAAAUAUAUUUUUUUAUAGGAUUUGUUUCUAGAAUUAGAUGUUCUUUUAAAGGAUUUGCAUGUAUGUUAUAAAUAAUUGCUUACCCCAAUUUACAAUUUUAUAUAUACACUGAAUAAUUUUAAAAAAUUUACUAUUAGACAAUUAAAAUCUAAUUCAACAAAUACAAUUUAAAUCAUAUUAAAGUUUAUAUAUGAAAAUUUUAUAGCACCUUGAGCUAAUUUUAUUUAAAUUAUUUUUAUUUAAAUUAAUUGAAUUAUUAAUCUUUGACUAAUAAUUUUUAUUAAAUUAUUAUUGUCACUCAUGUUAUUUUACGCCUCUCUUUUAUCUCUUUUUUUUUUUCUUUCUCUUCAUCUCACUCACUGUAUUUUGUUUUUUGAUAUAUGUACAAUUUAAACUACUCAUCAAAUAACAACAAUAAUAAAAAAUCCACUUCGAAAUAUUUGUCCGCCUGCAUCGUGCGGAUAACUACACUAAGUAUCAACUUAUUACAUAAUUAAUACCUCGACUGAGCUAUUUACAUAUAACUUAUAAUAAUUAUUGUUGGGAAUCGGUCUCGCCCGUACCGGAUCUUGUGAAUCCGCAACGCAUGCUCUAUACCGACUGCUGUGGAUUUCGUAACCGAUUGUUGAUCCGCAACGGAAGCGCCGAAUCAGGUUUUUAGCAUAAACCCGUCUCACUCAGCAGCAUGCGAUAAAUCAUAAAAAGAAAAAUAUGCAGGAAAAUAAAGAUUCAUUAAAUAAGAGAAAUUACCCGAGACUUCUCUUUCUGCAUCAGAGUAGCCUACAACCGAGGCCCUCUCUCUGAAUCUUACCAUACCCUUCCUCUCGUCUUCUAUACUCCGCAGAAGACAUCUCUUAUCAUUCCUGUGGCAUCCAUGCACAAGUAUACCAAUGACUUCCACGCUCUACGAAAGCCGCACACGCCUCGCUUGCAUCCAUCACUAGGUGCAACAAAAUCAUGACACAUAUUGGCCCAUCGCAUAAUAGGGUGUGGCUCAUCAGACCACCACCCACCAACGAAACCUGCAUAGCAACAUAUGCUAAUAAUUUAUUAGGUUACAUCAAAGACCAAAUAUCCUAGUAUAAAUUAGGAUUUCUACUCCGAUAAACUAUUAUAUCCUAUGAAUUUGUUUUAAUCUCCAAUAAUUUAAAUAUUUAUCUAAUACUAGUUAGAUUUAACUCUCUAAUUAAUGAUUUAAAUCUAAAUUGAUCUCAAACAGAUUAUAAAUUACAUUAUUAUCGCAACAUAGGAUUCAAUGUACAAAAUCUAACCACCUAACAAUCUCCACUUGUUAUGAUUUUAAUCUUCAAAACCUCACGUCGAGCUCACCAUGCGCAAGCUCUACUUCGCGCAUUGUCUCUCCCGCGUGUCUGCUGCGUCAUCCGCCGCUCCCACCUCGAGCAGCGUACACUCUCGCACGAACUUUGGAAUCCAAACACGUGCUUCGCCGCAGUUCUGGCUGAAAAAAAAAAAAACGGUUCAGAACGUAUAUCUUCACGCUUGUAUCGCUCGCGAUCCACGACCAGAAUCGUCGUUUUCGGACCCCUCAUACUCCCACCUGAUACUAAAUUAUCGCAACCCUCGAGCCAACGCCGCUAAAAGAGAUCAAAUGUCACUUUAAACAUCGAUCCUUUGAACGAUCGUAACCGUGCUCUGACAUGAUCUUUGCUCCAAAGAUCGUUAAGCUUUGCUCUGAUACUACUUGUUGUGAAUCCCGGUACUCCCCCGGUACCGGAUCUCUGUGAAUCCGCAACCUCGCUCUGGAUAGUCCGACUGCUGUGGAUCGGUACCGAUUGUUGGGAUCCGCACGAAGCGUCGAAUCAGGUUUUUACCAAUAAUCCGGGUCUCCUCAGGCAGAUGCUGAUACAAUCAUGUAAAAGAGAAAAAUAUGCCAGGUAUAAUAAGAUUCCAUUAAAUAAGAGAAAUUAGCACCAACUUCAUGCUUCUGCAAGCUAGAAGUAGCUACAACAACCAGCCCUCUGCUCUGAAUUCUCUUCCUACCCUUCCUCUCGUCUUUCUAUAUCCCAGAAGACAUUCUUUAUCCGUGCAUCCAAUGCACAAGAUAUCCAAUGAACCACGCUACGAAAGCCGCAUGCAACGUUCUUUGCAUCCAUCACUAGGUCAUACCAAACUAUGACCAUAAUUGGCCAUCGCCAUAUAGGUGCUGUGCUAAUCAUCCAACACCGACACCGAAACAAUAGCACAUAUGCUAUAGUUAUCAGCUUACACUCAAAAGCUACCUCAAAUCCUAGUAUAAUUAGAUUCUACCUCCGAUAAAUAUUUAUAUCUAUAUUAUGUUAUUCUCAAUAAGAUUUAAAUAUUUAACCUCCUAAUUAGUUAGGAUUUAUAACUUAAUUAAUAUUUAAAUCUUAAUUUAUCUCAAAGAGUUUAAAUAUUAGAUUGAUUAUCCAAUAAUAGGAUUCAAUUACAAAUCUAACCAAAUCUAACCAUUAAGAUAAUCUCGACAGAGCUAAUUCGUUGAUUCGUAUGAAAUACAGGAAACCUUCAAAUUGAAACAUCUCACAUCAUUAAUUAGAUACACAGCUGAUUCGCACCGCGAGGGCAAAAGAUAACUCUGAUUGUCCAGAUCGGUUAGACUACUGCAUAUCACUGCUCGAAAAUUACCAAUUAUAGAGCUUCCGACUGCUCGGAAUCGAACAAGCCAAGCAACAGUUAUAACCCAUGUAGAAUCCUGAGCGAUGUAGUUUCGAGCGGCAUGGUCCAUAUCGCCGGCCUUCAAAGUGGAAUAUCAGCUUCGGCACGUCCACCUUUGCUGAUGGAGACGACGGCAGCGAGAAGCAAAGGUCGAAGCCCUCCGCGGUGCCGUUAGCCACGGGCAGCUUCACCUGCGACAAGAAGGCGCUCCUCACGAGCUUGUAAGCAACCGUGGUUAGCUGCGUGAAGGACGUGCCGGAGUCUAUGAUCACUCCGCCCGUCCCGUUUUGCUGCAGCGCGAAUGCCGACUUCGGUAUCGGGAGACGGGUCGUGCCGACCGUUAUACCAUCGAAAGAGAGGUAAUAGAAGGUUGGCUGUGAAGGAUUCAGAACGAACGGAGUCGACCGGACCGUAGUAGCAUUGCCGUUUAGACCGGCAGCUGAUCCUAACAUAAGUGUGCUGCUCUUCGAAUUGUUGCCGUAGGAAGUGAAGCAGUAUCCGAACUUUCCGGCUCCUAACUGAGAGAUGAGAGACAAGGGCCCACGACCGAAGCCUGCGAUCCCGAAUUCGUUGUAGAAGCUGACUUGGUUUAGAAACCCACAGCCGAAUCCGAGGUGCGGGACCGUGAUGUUUUUAGUGGUCGACCCGAAGGUGAAGGCCUCGCUGGUGAGAGUGCCGACGGUGGUUGAGCUGUCGGCGUAACCGUAAAGAUAGAGGCAUUGUGCGUGGCAGGCGGAUAGAGGAAGAGCCUGGCAGAGCUUGCUGGAGCAGGGAAGCGGCGAAUAAGUGGCUGACUGUGAAGGAUCGUACAAAGGAAAGCUCUGGUUGAUGCACGAGAGGCAGGGCUGGCACUGAGUCCAGAUGAGAUCACUGCCAGUGUCAAGGUUGAGCAGGAGAGGCUGUGGCGGCGUGCCGAUGGAAACUCCGAUGGUGUACUCGCCAGCAUUUGGCAAGACAGGCACGUCAGUUGUGGAUAUCGAAUUGGUGGAACCCCCCGCGGCCUUGGACGCGAGCAUCGCACUCCGGGCCCUGCUUCGGAGCGCCAUGCGCUGCAGGAGCUCGAAUUUGGUUAUGUUCCGGCCCGUGUCGAUGUGGGUCAGGUCCAUGCGAACACCGUCGAAGGCAGAAAUGGCUGGAGGGAUUAGAAAGACAAGGAGAAGCACCAGAAUCGGCAGCAUAUUGUCAGAGAACUUAACAGCAUACAUGUUGUGGUCUGAGAUACAGAGACUUAUGUUUUGGGGAGAUAAUAUUUGUUAGGAUGUAUGUUUAUAAUUUAUAUAGGGGGAUUUAGCAAGAAUGAGUCUCUGUGAUAGCAGAUAUUGUUGUAUUUUUUACUGUGUUUAACUUUUCUCGGUAUCAUAGAAGGACUCAGUUAACGCGCUCUUUUAUACAUUUCAAACAAUGCCCUUUCAAUAUCUUGACACGGCAAAAUCAUGCGUGCGUUUUGCUUGUAGCAAAAUUAUGUAACAAAAUAAGAUUAAAUUCAACUUGGACACUACACAUAUUUUCCGAGUGAAAGUACCUAGCUAUUUUGGUGGACCAUUUGGAAGUUUAGGAAUGAUUUUAUCUUUUGAAACGUCCAUUUCGAUCAUGUUUUGGUUGUACAACGGAUUAAGCAGCUUCUGAAGCCUUGGGAAUCCCUCCUAUGACCGGUCCUUUAGUUUUUUCUCUUUUUUUUUUUUUUUUUUGAUUGUUGUAUCAUUCUUAGAGGCCCGGGUUGCCUCACUCCUGUAGUCUAAUUCGUAUAUUUAAUAAAUAAAGCAGAUAGCUUGUUACCUUUUCUCAAAAGAAAGUGCCUAAUUAUUAGCUAGGAGAGACUUGUCACUAAACAAAGGCCUCCAUUCGCACACAAGUAAAAUAACAAAUUUUUAAAAAAAUAUUAUUUUAAUAUAAAACUAUUAUAUUAUUUAUGAUUAGAAUUUUUUAUUAUCAUAUGCGGUACGGUAAAAUUUAGAUGUAUAUUUUGUUUAUACUAGAGCAUAAAAGAAUUGUCUAAAUUUUUUUGGUAGAAUAGAUAUAAUAUUUACACCUAAAAAUUAGGGGUAUACUUUGCAUUUCUUUAAAUAUGAUGAUAAUGGAGUUCUAGAAGCAGAGGUUGACCCAGCAUAAUUGUAUUAUGGAAACAAAAAAUUGAAAAAAAGUAGGAUGAACGAGCUUAAUUGGACCAUCUUGUCUGCUUUUACAACGACUAGCUUUUGGCCUAGCUUUUAACAAGCUCUUUUGAAUUGAAAAGUGAUUUUCGGCUCAAUAAAGCGUUCGGCAAUCUCACUUUUAAAAUUUGAUUCUAUUUUUUAGAAUCAGAAAACUGAUUUUUAAGAUCCCAAAAUCAGAAAUAGAAAAAAACUGCUUCUUAAAAUCUAAUUCUGAUUUUGGACACAAACUUCAAAUUUUUAUUUUAAUUUUAAAUUCAAUAUUUAAAUCUAAAUUUAAUUUUAAAUUUUAAUUUUCAGAUUCAUUUUUAAUUUUUAAAUUUUGAAAAAUAGAUUUCAAACUUUAAAUUUUAAAUUUUAAUUUUAAAUUUCAAAUCUCAAAUUUUAGAUUUUAAAAUUUUAAAUUUCAAAUUUCAAAUUUAAUAUAAAUUUAAAAUUUUAACAUUUUAUAUUUUAAAAUUUAAAAUUUAAAAUUUAAAUAUAAAUUUGAUAAAAGUAAAAUAAAAAUUUUAAAGUUGAGUUCAAAGUUAGAAUUAGAUUUUAAAAAGUAGCUUCUAAGCUACUCNUAAAUAUUAAUAUUUUAUAUUUUAAAUUUCAUAAUUAUUUAUAUUUUUAAAUUUUAUUUUUAAUUUUUAAUUUUAAAUUUCAAAUUUACUUUUAAAUUUUAAAUUUCAUUAUUAUUUAUAUUUUAAAUUUAUAUUUAUAUUUUUAAAUUUGAAAUUUCAUAUUUAUUUUAAUUUCUAAAUUUUUAAAAUUUUAAAUUAUUUUUUAAAUUAAAAUAUCAAAUUUUAAAUUUUGUACAAUUUUGAAAUUUAAAAAUUUUAAUUUUGAUUCAAUUUAAAUUUAGAUUUUAAAUUAUUUUAAAAUAAAAUUUAGUAAAAAUAUUAAUUUAUGCAAACAUCAAAAAAAUUUACCAAACAGUUUUUUAAAAUCAUUUUAGAAAAAUCGCUUUUAUCUAAACUCAACCAAACGUUCUACAGCUUUUAACCAAAAUUAUUUCUCCAAACCAAAAUUAUUUUUUUAGAAAUCACUUUUUCACAAGCUAGGCCAAACGGGCCCUAUAUCAGGUAUGUCAGAUUUUUCCAUUAAUUUGUAACUGAACUUAUCACACACCGACAUGAAUUUUAUGAGAUAUCGUAUUCUAAUCAUUGUUUAAGUCGAGACUAUGUGCUGUUAAAAUAUAGCUAUCUCAAAUAAGGGACCAGAAACACCAUCAGAAAUUGAAAUGAGUGGUGGGAAGCAAAUGUCCAGCAACAAAUAGGGUCCUCAAAAGCACUACAACCACUCCUUGAGCAACUCUUUUGUGCCGACACUCUAGAGACUGUGGACCACCUGUUGGUGGAAUGUGUCGUUAGUAGAUUUUCUUUUAUUUCACUCCUUGAUGCCCCUCAUGCUUUUACCUCCAUGGAGGAUGUCAAUACUGUUUGGGAGGCGCUGGCAGGGAAGGGGGCGCAGUGCAACACCGCACUGACCCCGAUUCUUGUGACGGCCAUUUGGUGGACGAUUUGAAGUGAGAGAAAUAAUGUUAUUCUCCAGAACCUCCAAAUGCAAGCUAUCUCUUCCGCUCAUUGUAUUGGACUUUUGGUGAAGGAGUGGGUCGAUUACUGUAGAGCUGAGUGAAGCUGGUGUUAAUCACACCCUUCGUUUUUGUUACUUUUUAUUUUUCUGUAUCAGGUUCUUCUUUUCUUGUUAUUUUUUCUACUGACUUUUCGCUUUCUCGAGGCCUUGGUUGCCUCACUCUAUAUAGCUUAAUUCACUUAAUGAAUAAAGCUGGUAGCAUGUUACCUUUCUUUCAAAAAAAAAAAUAAUUGAGGGUGACAAAAAAAAAAAAAAAAAGAGGAGCAUUAUCAAAAGGGAUAAGCCCACUAGCGACGUGUACAGGAAUCUAUACAACUAUAUUAAUCCCCAAUAUAUAAGAUGACGUGGCGUUUCCUCCUUAGUUUAGGAUAGGAAUCUAGACCUUUUUUUCUUUUCUUUCAAUUAUAUUUUUUUUUUUUGAACCGAACCAACAAGUUUUUUUUAUAUAUUUUGUUUUUUUUUAUUUUUUGAACGGAACUGGUCUAUUUUGUUAUAUAUUUUGUUUGAAUCCGAUUUUUUUCUCUUCUUUCAAUUAUUCUUUUUUGAACCUCUUCUUCUUUCUAUUUAUUUUUUUGAACUGAAUUGACAUAUUUUGUUAUAUAUUUUGUGUCGAAACUGAUUUUUUAUUGAACCGGCUCAUCUUUACUUUUUAUUUUUUUUUAAUCGAAUUGGUCUAAUUUGUUAUAUAUGUUUGAAUCCGGUUCUUCACUCCUUACUUGAACCGAACCGGAUCGAAACCGGUUUUUUAUUGAACCGGCUCAUCUCUACUUUUCUUUUUUUUUUGAAUCGAAUCGGUUUACUUUUAUAUAUAUACUAGUGAAAUACCCGCGCGAUGCUGCGGAUGUAAAAAUAUUUUUAUAAAAAAUUUUAUUUUUUUAGUAUUUUUAUAUAGUUUUAUAAGUCUAAUUAUUAAUUAAAUAAAAAUUAUAUAAAAAUAAUUUAAUAGUUAAAUUUAUUUAAAUGAAUAUCAUUAAAAUUAAGUAUAUUACGCAAGUAAAUUUAUACAAUAAUUUAUUUUAUAAAAAUUUAUAUGAAAGAAUUGGGAAUAAUUUAAAAAAAAACAUAAAUAGAAGGAAAAACAAAAUCGUAGAAGAAAUUAUUUAGUAAAAUUAAUUAUAUAAUACACAUUAACUAUAUUUCUAAAAUUUUAGUCCUGAAUUAGAUUCUGUAUUUUUUUAUACAGCAAUAUUUUUUUGUUAUAUUAUGUGAUUUAAAUUGCAUUCUAUCAGGUCGGAUUUUAUUAAACGAUUUACUACGCGUAUUAUUAAUAAAAUUAAUAAAUAUAAUAUAUUAUUAAUAUUAAAAAUUAUUUAAAUUAAUUUCAUAGAGUUUAGGGAUUUAAAAUUUUAACUUGAAGUUUAAAAUUUGAAAAUAAAUAUUAUAAGUUAAAAUUGAAAUUAGAAUUUAAAAUAUAAAAUAUAAAAUUUGAAUUUAAAACUUUUAAAUUUUUAAGUACAAAUUUAAAUCUGAUAUCAAAUUUAAAAAUUUAUAUUAUAUAUAUAUAUAUUAUAUUAUAUAUAUAUUAUAUAUUAUUUAUAUAUUUAUGAAGAGAGAGAGAGUAAAGGAGGGUUUGGGAGACACGUGUCACCAUUUGGCCCUCCAAACCUCUCUUAAUGAGUAGAAAAGAAAAAGAUAUAUAUUAUAUAAUAUAUAUAUAUAAUAUAUAUAUAUAUAAUUGAAGUUUUAUUUUUAUUUUUAUUUUUUUGUCUUUUGGUCUCAUAGCAAUAAAGUCAAUUCUCAAACGUUCCAUAGGGUCAGCUAUUCAACCGUUAUAUUAAAUAGAGAGAUUUAAAUAAACAAAAAUUAUAUAUAUAUAUAUAUGGUGGCAUUCCAAAGCUUCUACAACGUUUUAAAACUUUUGAUUAUGAAAGGUCUAUAAAUAAUCUCUCUUAUGUUGUGUAUUUCAUUUCAUAUGCACAUUUUUUUUUUUACUAUAAACUUAAUUAUUAUUAUUAUGCUCCAAUGGCUUCUACUCAUGCUAUUUUUCUCUCCUUUCUUCACUUCCUAUUGCUUCUCUCCUACCUCAAUUAUGGUACCAUUUUUUGUAAUUAAUUAAUUGCUCAAUAUUUGAAUCUCAAACUAUUUUUGCAUAAAAAAUUCUAACUUCAAUAUUUUUUAUAAAUUUAGAUAUUGAUCUUUUCCAACAAUAUUUUAUCAAUGGUACGUAGGUGGUAGAUGGUAGAUACUUUAUAUUUUCACUUUAUUAUUAUUAUGUACAGAUGUAUUUUUUUUUAAUGUUUUGUUAUUUUUUCUUAGAAAUCCAUCGGCGUUCCACUACGUUGAUUAAUCAACUGUUUGGUGUUGCCUUUCUUUGGAUCUCCGGUAAGUCCUAAUAUCUAUGUGCUUAUAUUUGCUUUGAUUUUAGAUAUGUUUGUGGUUACAUGAAAAAUAUUAAUGUAUUACAUACAAUUUUAUUAUUUUUCCUCAGGAAUCCAUCAGCGAUCUACUACGUUAAUUGAUCUCCUGUUUGGCGUUGCAUUCUUUCAGACCUCCGGUAAGUCGUAGUGCAUAUGUACUCAUAUUUACAUGAAAUUAAGUUAAAAAAAAAUUCAUAAAAAUGUGAUUCUCAGACCCUCUGUGUGUGCAUUUUUUUUAUUCAUGCUCAAUAUGCCUUUAGUUAGUCUUUAUUCUUGACUUUCUUUGUUGGCCAAUUUGCAUAAAAAAUCCACUUAUUUUGAGCUUUCGCAAAACCGGGCCACCUUUUUCGUUUUUGCAGAUUCGGUCCGCUUCUUCAGCAAACUGACCAAAAUACCCUUAUUACUUUUUCUCUUUCCUCUUUCUCUCUCUUCUUCGUUUCUCUCGUUUUUUUUUUUUCUCGUCGGCAGAACGGAGGCGGAGCGGAGGCAGAAACGGUCCGUCUCGCCUCUCACCCUCAUGCUCUCGCUCUCGCCCUUGCCCUCGUCCAUGCACCCCCCACCUUACUCGCCGCCGACCCCGCCAAGGCCGCGCCGCGACUUUUUUUUUUGUUUUUUUCUUUUCUUUUCUUCUCCGACUCUUCUCCACCGUCUCCAACGACGACGCCUCUCGCCCUUCCCCCCUUCUCAUCUCUCCCUCUCCCUCAUUUUCUACCGCCUCCGACGACGAUUUAUCUUCGCCGGCGCCAACGUCGACACCGUAGAGGUCACUGCGGCGCUACAGCCUCGAAGCAGGGGGUCCUUAGCGGCGUCGUCAUCGGCGCCGUAGCUGUUGGCAGAGAAGGUGACAAAAAAAAUUAUAGAAAAAACAGAAAAAAAAAAUAAAGAUAAAAAAUUAUAUAAAAAGAAGGAGGAAGAUGAAAUUGCAUCGUUAAUUACAAAAAAAAUUAUAAGUUGCACUAUUUAAGAUAAAAAUUAUACUCUUUGAACAAAAUUAUAUUAUUUUUUAUCUUAAACUGCAUCUUUUUAAGUGAUAUUUAUACUAUUUCUCCUCUUGUUGCAUUGUUUCUCCUCUUGUUGCACUAUUUCUCCUCUUGUUUUACACAGAAAUGUGCAACAAGAGGAAAACAAGGUGUCAACAAAGAGAAGAAACCAGUUAAAUUAUUCGUCUUAAUAGGGGGCAGUUUCUCUCCUCUAUUAGCAGUUGUUUCUCCUCUUGUUGCAGCUAAUUUCUGCCUAUGUUUAUACAGAAAUGGUGCAACAAGAAGAACAGUGCAAAAGGAGAAGAAACAGUAGAUAAUCUCUUAAAAUGAGGCAGCUAUCUUCUCUUUUCACUGUUUCUCACCUAUGUUACACAGAAAUGGUGCAAUAAGAGGAGAAAGCAGUAUAUAUACGUCUUAAUAACAGUGCAGUUUUUUUCUCUUUGUUGAGCACUGUUUUUUUUCCUCAUUUUUCACUAUUUUCUCUUUUCUUACACAAAAUGAUGCAACAAGAGGAAAACAGCUCAACAAGAGAAAAAACAGUAUAAAUAAUCUCUGCUAAAAAGGUACAGUUGUAAGAUAAAAAAUAGAUGUACAAGAGGAAAAUGGUGAACCAAAGAGAGAAACGAGUGGCAACAAGAGAAAACAAUAAUAAUACUCGUUAACAGGGUACAGUUUAAGAUAAAAAAUGUGUAUACAAGGAGAAAUGGUGGCAACAAGAGGAGAAACAGUGCAACUUUUGUUUAAAGAGUGUAACUUUCAUGUUUAAUGGAUGCAGUCUAAUCUUAAUAGUCAACUAUAAUUUUUUUGGCGAAGUUAAACGAUGCAAUUCAUGUUCAUCUUCAUUUUUAUAUGUAAUUAUUUAUCUUAUUUUUUUUUUCCUGUUUUCUAUAUAUUUUUUGUCACCCUCUCUGCGCAACAGCCACGUGGCCGGCAACGGACGCCGCUAAGGAACCUGCCGCGUCGGCGCCUGUAGCGCCGCAGUGAUCUCUUCUUAUCGGUGUUGCGACAGUCGGCCGGCGAAGAUGCAAUCGUCUCGAAAGCGGCCAACGAAUGAGGGAGCAGGGAGAGAUGAGAAGGGCGGACGGACGGAGCAGAGGCGUCGUCGUCGCGAAAUCGGUGGAGAAGAGUCGAGAAGAAAGAAAAAGAAAAGAAGCAAAAAAAAAACCAAAAGUAGCUGGGGCGCUCUUUGGCGGGGUUGGAGGCGAGGAAGGUGGGGGGUGCGUGGACGAGGGCAAAGGCGAGGGCCAGGGCGAGAGAAUGAGGGUGAGAGGCGAGACGGACCGUUUUCGCCUCCUCUCUGCCGGCGAGAAAACAAAAAAGAACGAGAGAAACGAAGAGGAGAGAGAAAGAUGAAAGAGAAAAAGUAAAAAGGGUAUUUUGGUCAGUUUGCUGAAAAAGAGGAUCGAAUCUGCAAAAACGAAAAAGGUGGCCCGAUUUUACAAAAGCCCAAAAUAAGUGAAUUUUUUAUGCAAAUUGGCCUUCUUUGUUUUUGUAUUUUUGUAUUUAUGAUUUUGCUUUAGUUAGAAUUUUAUUACUUUUAAAUAUUUUUCUUUAUCUUUAUUAUUUAAUAGAAUAUGUGUUUAAAGUAAAACACGUGUCAAAACUAAAACAAAAGCCCUGCGUGUAUUCUUCGACAGUAAAUGGCAUCAACUGUUAAUAUCGACAUCAACUUUCACUGUUUACUUCGUAAAAUCUGCGCAUAAUUUUCGUUACCUCCUCCCAGAUAUGAAAUUACUAUGGUCGCAGACGGACAGCUCUGUUCUUUUGUUGAUGUGGAGGUUCCUAGGGAUAGCAGAUUUAUGGAAAUAAUUAUAUGUUGCCAUAUUAAUUAUUUGUUUGAAAUUUAUAAUUAUUUUAAUUUUGCCCGAUUAUAGUGUUGUUGUUGCUAAUGAUUCAUCUAUAUCUACAACUUUUUUUUAUUUUUUAUGCUAUUUCUGUCCACAAAUCAACUUAAAUUAUUUAGUCUCAUUCAAAUCCAGCUUAUAACAAAAUAUAACUCAAUAGAUAAAUUAAAGCUUAACUAAUAAUCUAAUUUUAGCAAAUUGCACUCUAAAUUAAACUGUGCAGUAUCAUCUCUGAACAUAAAUUGAGUUUUUUGUUGAGUUCUAAACUUUUCUAUCUAAUUUUAUCAGGUCCUUUUCAUCUAAAACUCCAUUAUAUAUAUCAAACAAUAUAUAUCAUGUCACCUUCCCAAAAUCUUAACCUGGUAAACAAGAUCUAAGAAAUAAAAUACAAACAUGUUGUUCAUAAAAAGUUUUAAAAUAUUGCCUUAAGACAUUCAAUGCAUAGUUUAUAUUUUAGUUGAUAUAAAUAGAAAAUAACUUGAAUGUUUACUCUUAUUUGCAGUUUAAUUCAGUCUUCUGAUUCCGAUGAAGAAGUGAAGUGAAGAUUUUUUCAGCAAACUAUCAUAAGAUCUAAUUUCUAUAAUAUUUUAAGGAUAUGUGUAAUAGACUUAUUUUAUUUUGAACUUUAUAGUAUGAGUUUUAUACUAUGAAUUUUAGAAUUUGGUAAAAUUCUAAAGUUUCUAACCACAUUUAUUGAAGAAUAGUGCUGUUUUGGAGCCAUAUAACUUUCAUUCAAAAUUUUAUAAUUUAGAAAAAUUAGUAUUUAGAAUUCUAACUAUAAUUUUAUUUUUUAAAAUUAUAAAAUUUGGAUUUUAUUAUCUACCCACUGCGUCGCGCGGGUUUCUGCACUAGUUAUAUAUUAUUUCUCUUAAACUUUGCCACAUGGCAUCAUUCUCUUUUUUUGUUAAAUUAAAUGUGGGCUCUACCAAUUUCUCUUUCUUUGUUUGAAUCAAACCGGGUUGUUGGGUGCCACCUUGAACCGGCUCAAGUUCUCCAAAUAAUUAUAUAUUUUUUCUCUAUUUGUGCUUGAAUCGAACCGGAUCAACUUGCUUUAUUGGAUCGAAUCAAUUAUUCUAUAUAUUUUCAUCUUUGAACAAGAUUUCUUUUUUAAUUAUCUGAACUGAACAAAUAAUGCUGAACCGGGUCAACUUCAUUCGAACCAAACUAAUUGCUCUAUAGAAUAUAUAGAGUAAUUAUUGGUAAAAAAUUAUUGGUGGGAAUCUAUAGAAUAUAUUAUCUGUGUCACACCUCGGAUUACUCGUUUUCUCGGGCACGCUAACAGACCCGCCGUAUACAUAAAAAUUUUUUCUGCAUACGAAGAGAAAGUUGUACCUGUACCUGUAAUUAUACAACACUACAACCAGUAGUAUAGAGCUGCUAAAUAAAAACAUAUAUAAUAACAAGAGUCCAUUAUACAUACAAAGUAUCCAGUUAUAACAAAAACACUCGCUCCAGCAAGUUACAACAUCUAUAUGUAUAAUAACCAAAAACUACAACUACCUGCAGCUAGUAUGCUCUAUAUCAGCGAAAACUAGGAAGGGAUCUGUAACACACCGGACCUUUGCAAAUUGCGAGGUUCGAGUGUUUGAUCUGUGUUCCGAGCCAUUCCACAGUUUCUGGAGGGUUGUUGACAGAACUCCGACCUAUAGUUCGUACCCCGAGAAUUGAGAUUCGAAACUUAGCACCAAAAUCCUAAAGUUAGGAUUGUUGGUCUUACUCUCGAGUUAGCCUCAGCCAGGCUGUGUACCAGUACAGCCUUGAUGGUUGUACCGGUACAGGAUUUGUACCGAUACAGCCUUGAUGGUUGUACCGGUACACUUGAAAUUUUCUGCCAACCCGAGGCUCAGGUUGCUGUAGCGCAGGAUUUGUACCGGUACACUUUCCCGUGUACCGGUACACUUUGCUUUGCCAGCUGUUUUUGUUGAGGGGUGUUUUUGCAAUUAUUGCAACCCCUAUAUAGCUCACCCUAGCCCUUUAGAGAGUUCCUUUGAGCUCAAACCAGUGGAGAACAAGGUGAGUCCUUCUCCCUUUAAUUUCUUCUCCAUUUUUGAUGAUUGUAGUGGUUUGGUCUCUUUUGUCUUCUCCUCCUUGCUCUAUAUUGGUUCUCACCAUUGGAGAAGCUUUGAAGCUUUUGUUGGAGCUUGUUUGGAGGGAGAACUUCAACCCUAGCUAGCUUGGAGCUUGAUUUGGGACAUCUUGUGAGGUUUGUAACAUGUAUUUCUCUUUUCAUACAUGUUUUAGUGGAUUUUAAUAUUGUAACCCUAGAAUUGGAGAUUUAGGGUUUGAAAUGGAGAUUUUUGAUUUGAGGCUUCUUGAUCUUAAUUGAUUGACUUAGAACCUUCCUUUAGGUUGGUUUUGAAGGGUUCUUGCUCUCUUUGGGAGAUCAAGAGGGAUUUUCACCACUUUCGGUGAGUUUUCUUCACCUUUGCUUGAGUUGCUUAAUGUUUGAGCAAUUGAUUAUUCGUAACGUUCGUGUAUCACUCCUUUUGCUACCUUUAGGGUAUUAGGAGAGUAGUGGAUACCUUCGUCGGUGCAAACGAAGGGUUUCGUAAAGUCUCGGUGGGUUUGGCUUUAUUGGAACAGGAGAAAUCUUCUCCUAAGUGGUUAAAAGUUGUUGCUUCAUCGAAAUGCAUAUAUAUUCAUGCUAGACAGAAUUUUUAUGAAUUUUAGAAUACUUAACAUGCAUGCCUCAUGUAUCGUAAAAUUUGUACUCCACAUAGUAGAGCUAUAUGUGUAUUAGACAUGCAUGUGAAAAGUAUUCUAUAUUGCAAGUUGAAAAUAUUUCUCAUAUGAUGAAUAGAACUGAAAUUGUGUACUCUUGAACUCCUAACUCAUGUUUGGACAAGUGAACAAAAGUGCCAUAAAGGGGCACCGAACUAGUAAACUGUAAAACUGCAACAUAGAGACAAAGUAAUAGGCCAUUGUGACAUCGACUAUAUUCCAUGUUUUAGACAUGACGACAUAGUGAUAGGCCAUUGAGAGAUUUGCUACAUUCCAUAUUUUAGACAAGAUGACUUAAGACUUGAGACGGACUUUUACGCUUGCUUGCCAUUGUGCUCAUUCGCACAUACUUGUGAGGGUCCCUCCCCACAAACUGGCACUCCGGAGAUAGCCAUCGCGACAUAUGCUUGCCCGUGCGGGAUUGGGCGCCGAAAUGGGAUGCCGUGGGGGAGGCUCAUUCCUAGAGUGGGGAUGUUGACUACCACGGGGCCAUUAGGUACGGCGCAGGCCGGACUACCCACGGGUAGGUCCUACAGGAUUGGAACAUUGAUAACUUACUAUACUGAGUGGACAUUGACUAGAAUAGUAAACAAUGACAUUUCACUAUUUAGUUUGUGGACAUUAUGAUAGUUGCACUCCUGUACAUUCAUGUUACAGGAGCUUUAUUACUUAUGCAAAUUCUUGCUAAGUAGAGAUAUCAUGGUUUAGUAAGUAUUCAUGUUUAAAUAUUUGUCAUUUAUAUUGCUUAUUUAUUCUUACUUACCUGCUUUAUUUUCGGGCCUAGUGGAGUAUUGCACUGAAGUCAGAAAUUGCCCACUGGAAAUUAUUAUUUAAUAGUUCUCACGCCCUCUAUUUUAUGAGUUUUCUUUCAGAGCCUUCAGCACCGGUGGAGGCACGGGAUUGCAACAAGGGGAUCGCUUAGCUAGCUAGCGAUGAGCGUUUCUUUUGCUUAUUAGGUGGUUUACUCUCCUUUUGUUUGUAGUUGAGAGUGACAGAUUUUGUAUCCAUGUAUAGAGACCACCAUUGUUAUACUUUUAGCACUUCUGUUUUGGAUGUUCAUUGUACUACUUGUUGGUUACUCUUAGUGGAUUUGUUAGCUCUUUUAUUUACCUCUAUGUCUCUUAGAAUCUAGUUGUACUUUGCUCUAAUACUUCUAGUGUCACGUCCCGCUAUCGCCAAUUUGGUCGAUCGGGCCCGUACACAGAUGCCAAACGGACAGAACCUCCUCUGUCCGCCCAAGGCUCAACAAUAACGAGUACAUGUAUAAAGAAAUAAACAAUUUCCAGGAUAACAUUUCAAUAUACAUGGCUUGCACGAGAGCAAGCAACAAUCACAAGUGAUAGUAAGCUAGCUAUACUGAAAAUUCAAUGUAAUUUAAAACUUUUAAACUGAACUUUAUAUAACUAAAUAACUGAAACAUUUAGUUAUUUACAUGCUUUAUAAUACAUUCAUUUACAUGUCUCUGUAUAUCAAAAUGUCUCACAUGAACUCAAAAUGGUAUACCACUAAACACUGGUGUCUGCUAGUUAGGCUGCAGGGCUCUUGCCACAAUCCUCGGCCACAACGCUCGCACUGGAACCUGUAUGGUUAGUGGUGUGAGAACUACUAAAAGUUUCCAUUGGGUUCGGCCGUCGACCUCGCCGACUCACCCACUAGGUCUAUUCAGGCAUAUGUAGGCAAAAGAAGUAAACAGAUAGUAACCAACUAUAACAUGUAACUACUAUAAUGCAUGUACAAAGCUGAAAGAAGCAAUAUGUAAAAACUGUAAAUAUGCAUGCAUGCUUUUACUGAAUUUACCCAAUCUUUUGGUUAACCUUUUGGUUAACAAUAACUCACUGACACUAUCCCAAAUAUCGGGGAGACGCAACCUGCACCCGACGGGACUGUCAACUGGGGGAGACGCACCUCCUGAUCCAGUAAAGAUGACUACUCCGGAGCUCAUCGUUCAAGGAGGAGCGACCUUUCUUGAACAAAAACUAAUGUGAGUAUAAUUUGACCCUUCUUUUGACCAAAUUAACUAAAAAUUUCAGCUUUCGAGUUGCAAUGACAAUUGGAGGUCUUUAACCACUUCGAUUCCAUUCGUGCCUAUUCUCACACUUCCAAAACAUGUCAAUUGCUGUUCUCAAGCCUCUAAUUAAGUUUAGAAAUACUUAAUUUCCAUUUUUGCAUCAUUGUGAUCAAUUUGAUCACAAUUAGCUCGAGAUAAAUUUUCAAUGCAUUACAUCUAGAUAUCUUUAUUCUAUCGUUUUACUUGCCGUUUUAUUGUAGACGCCUUAUAUGUUAUAGACGUAUGGCGGGUCUGGACACGCACCGAGCGGGCUUCCGCUGGGUCCCGGGGGGUGACAGGAUCUAGCUCGCGACUCCUUUUCCACGAUCAGUCUCCGCCACAGCAGCAGCCGAAGAAGAAGCCUCAGCAAAAGAUCCACCACUGGGCGUGAGAACUACUACAAAAAGUAGUCCUCAGUGGGUACCGCUACCCACCUCAACGGCUCACCCACUAAGUCUACAGAUGGUAUACUCAAUGAUAGUAAGGAACUGGAAACAAUCUACAACUAUAUGCAACUAUACUAUCAUGAUCCAACACUAACUAUCUGUAGAAUAAUGCAAUCUCUAACACAAUCUCACUAGGGACUGUGAAUACACCCGUCCCGCCUGUCGAAGCUGUACAGCUACCUCCACGCUAAGCAGACGGUGGAAAGCAAGUCCAACAAGGACACAACGACACCAACGCAAACGCACAAAGUCCGACUCCGGAGUGACACUCGUGUGCGCUACUCAACCGAGUAUGAAAGCGUAUCUCUGUCAAGCUCAAUCAGGCUCUCACAGGCUAUAGUCAAAGUAAACAUGGUCUAACAGGCCUAACAACCCAACUCACGUGCCCUUGGCACAAUCUGAUGCAAAAACAGUAAUCUGGGUCCACCGUCAAUCCGGACGGCAUCCGACAGUCCGGAACAGCCUAAACACUGUUGUAAAAAUAAGCUCGGCACCUCAACACGAGCGUAAAAAUAUUCUACAAUAUCCUGGGUAUCCACCGCCCACAAGCUGCGACGAUACAAACAAAUUACGGCUUUUAGAGCUAAAUCUGGUAGUUUUAACAUAUGAUAGUGUAGAAUCGUCGGUUUUCUCCUAAGUCAUUUUCAAGUCCAACAUAUAUAUUUAACUAACAUUUAAGCUCCAAAUUGAGAUUCCAUUAAGCAUGCAAAUCCACUAAUUUGAGCUGACUAACAUGAUACACAAUAAUCAACAUACAUGCCGACAACUACAACUUAGAAGAAAAUUCGGUAAUUCUGGUAGCUUAACAUUCAACCCACCUCUAGCCCAAUUCCACGGCAACGAGGAGGUCACGAAGUUGUUGGAGGCUUCAGUCGAAAUCACUCACAACUAGCAACUAUACUACUCGAAGGAUCUAAACAUUAAAACACCAAAAAUCCCAAAAUCCCAUUACUGCACACAAUUUCAGCAUUUAAGCUUAAAUUCACCUCAAUCACAAUAUCAACUUCACCUUCCAAUCUUCAGAUCAGGUGAGAAAAGGUCCCAAAUCCUGUGAACUAUGAUGGAAUACCACCCUGUGGUCCAAAACCCAGCUUUCUCCAAAGAUUGCACCAAGAAAACCCACAAAUUUACAGAUUCAGUCCAAAAACACCAGCAGCACAGUGAAAAGCCAAAUUGACCAAGCUAACCUCAACCAAAUUCUGUCGAAAUGGGCUCCACGAAUUCCUCUUGAAGUCCAGAAUCAACCAAACUAAGUUUCGUGGCAAACGGAGCUUCCUACGUCGCACACGAACCAAAACGCCAAAGGUCGCUGCUGGAAAAUUGCAAGAACAGCAAUCCUCAAGGUGAAAAGUGGGCCAAUUGGGACAAUUUUAGGAAAUUUGAGGGUUAUAAGGCAAUUUUGAGCUUUCGUGUGAAAGAGAGAUGAAAGAGCUUCUCGGGGGUCAACUACCAAUGUGAGAGUGUAAAAAUUUAAAAGCGUCAAGUAAGACGAGGGGAUUAGACUAUUAUAUGUUGAAAAAUGGAGAUUAAAGGUUCUAUACUCCUUAGGAAUUAUAAAGAUUUCUAAUUAAUUACGCCUAUUCACAUUUAGACAACCUCCGAUUAAGCUGGUCAAUUAUGAUAAUUAACAAAACAAAAUGCAUUUCUUUUAUUACUUUUGUACAUCGGUGUACAAAAAUUAAUACAACUGAAAAAGAGGAAAGGCGACAAUUAUUAUCUCUCUACUUCUCUCCUCUUCAAGGUAUUUCUCCGAACAAUGUCGGCCAUGCAUCAUACAUAAGAUUUCUUUGGUAUUUCAUCGAGCAUUUGACAUGCACACAAGUAAUGUGCAAAUUGCCUUUGACAUUUCAUCGAACACUUGGCACGCGUACAUGAACAAUGCAGCGUGCUCAAGUUUCCUUUGACAUUCUGUUAUAUGCACACCAUUUUUUUUGCAUUUCAUCAAACGCUUAGCACGCGUACAUGAACAAUGCGCUAUGCACAAAUUCUUUUUGGCAUUCUCUCUAACAUUUGGCAUGUGCACAUAAAUUAUCCAUCAUGCACAGCUUGUUUUUGACAAAAGCCAAUUCAAAAAUAGCUGCAAUCAAUAAUUUGAUUGGAGCUUUCCGUCGACGACUAAGCGUCAAACGGAUAGUCGUCGUUGUUGUCAUCGUCUACCGCUGACGGCUAAGCGUCAAGCAGAUGAUCCUCGUCGUCAUUGUCGUCGUCUACCGCUAACGGCUAAGCGUCAAGCAGAUCGUCGUCGUCGUUGUUGUCGUCUACCGCUGACGGUUAAGCAUCAAGCGGAUGAUCAUCGUCGCCGUUAUCAUCGUUGUUGUCGUCUACCGCCGACGACUAAGCGUCAAGCAGAUCGUCGUCGUCGUUGUCGUCGUUUACCGCUGACGGCUAAGCGUCAAGCGGAUGGUCAUCGUUGUCGUUGUCGUCGCCACCUUUAUCGCCGACGGCGAAGCAUCAAGCGGAUCGUUGUCGUUGUCGUCGCCGCCUUUACCACCGACGGCAAAGCGUCAAGAGGAUCGUUGUCGUCGUUGUCGUCGCCGCCUUUUACCGCCGACGGCGAAGCGUCAAGCGAAUGAUCGUCGUCGUUGUCGUCGCCACCUUUACCGUCGAUGGCGAAGCGUCAAGUGGAUCAUUGUCGUUGUCGUCGCCGCCUUUACCGCCGACGGCGAAGCGUCAAGAGGAUCGUCGUCGUCAUUGUCGUCGACGCAGCACCAGCAGGCGGAUGGCCACCUCCUUGGUCGAUGAUGACGCCACACUAGCAAAAGGGAACGUGCACCACUCCGGGAUCAACGACGACGGGGCAACGACAGUCAACAAAGGUGUAGGAAUGGCGACGAGCGGUCGUCUUUUAUUGGUUGAUGAUGACCCGGCGUAGUAGAGGUUGAUGACGGCAUAUAUAGCCCGAUGUGCAUAGCAAGCUCGAUGUAUGGAGUGCCUUGACUAGGAGAGAAUAGGGAGAAAAAAAAAUGAAAGUGAGAAAAUCUAAACCCACCUUUCUAUUUGGUUGUUCUUCUUUUUUCAAGUUUCUUUUCUCUUUUUUUUUGUGAGUAGAAUCCUCCCUUUUUUCUUUGUUCACUUCUCUUUAUAUAGAUAGAGGGUGGUGGAGGUUUACGGUGAAGAGAAAAGUAAAUGGUGGAGAAGUGGAGGGAAUGGUGGAGAAAGUGGUAGAAAUGGAGGGAAUGGUAGAGAAAGUGGUAGAGAAGUGAAGGGAAUAGUGGAAUGAUGGAGAAGUGGGAGAAAAUGGUGGAGAAGUGUGGAGAAGUGGGGUAAAUGGUGGAGAAAGUGGAAGGAGUGAUGAAGAAGUGGUGGAAAUGGUGAGAAGUGGAGGGAAUGGUGAAGAAAGUAGUAGAAAUAGAGGGAAUGGUAGGAGAUAGUGGAGGAGUGAAUUUAGAGAAGUGAUUUUUUUUUUUUUUAACAACCAGCUAUUUAUAGGGAGGAGAAGGGUGAAAUAGGCCCAAGGAACAAGAAUUGCUAACCUGCUGCCCCUACAGAAACGGCCAGUUUUGGGCGCCCGAAACCAUGUUCUGGGCACCCGAAACCUCUAGUCUACACAAAUCUUCCUCUUCAGUUCCUCCGCCCGCGAUCAGCUGUGCCCCUAACGUGGUCCGGUGGAACUCACCUACCACAAACACGUGUCAGCACACUCGAUACUCCCAAGGUGAACUUUCGGAUCCACAUCUGGGCGCCCGGAACAUAGGAUCCGAAUUGACUUCCAGUUCUGCUCAGACCAGCACUCAAAUUCUGGGCGACCCAAAUCCAGUUCUGGGCCCCCCAAAUCUGACAAAACUCUAGUUUUGCUUAUUUGAAUGCGCUGAAUCCAUUUCUGCAUCCAUUUCGUGCAGAAAUAACUCCGACUCAGUCCGACACUCUCCAGAUGUAUCGACCAGUCAUUAAUACUGUAGUCAAUCCUAUCCAAACUUCCGGAACACUACAAUCUAACAGUUCGAUCACAUCAAGAAAAUACGUUGUGAGAGAGCCACGUUGCUAAGUCAUAAACUAAUAAAAGUUUGCCACAUAUCCAAUAAAAAUUUUGGAUGCAUCCAUUACGCUGUAAACCGAUUUUAAAAUGUACAUCGAAGAUAAAUUUUUAUAAUACAAUAAAUUAUUUAGAUAUUUUAUAGUAUAUAUAUUAUAUUAUCAUAUUUUAUUUUACAAUAUUUAAUACUCAAAUAGGAACUCAAGUUAAAUGAUUCGCCAAGCAAUCAACAUCCAAACAUGUUUAAUAAAUACAUUUGAGCAACUAAUCAGUUAUUUUUUGCUCAAACUAUUUCAAAAAGCUAAUGAAAGUUAUUAUCUCCAUCAUAAAUUGUAAGCCAAAAUAACCAAAAUUUUGAACUGCUUAAAUUUAGAUGAUUCCGAUGUAUUUAACUCUCAUUCAAAAUAUAUAAAUUUAUGGAGCCUAUUUCAAAUACCUAUAGAAGAAAAGGUGUGUUUACUUUCGUGUCAUUUUCAGUACGUGAUAGAACAUUUAGAUCGGUUAUUAACACUUUUAUACUUGAUAUAGGCUAUUUGAACUUUUUAGGGUCCGAACUUUAUAAUUUUAUAAUUUGUAUACUAUUCUAAUGAUCACAACACUGACUAAUUUUUAGGCAAAUAGAGAAUAAAUUCGAGACUGCUUGAUCACUUAGUAAUAAUGUUGAAAAAUUAUAAAAUUUAAAUUUUAUAAAGUUCACAUAGUCUACAUUAUGUUUAAUCUAAACGUUUGAUCACUGGGCAAACAAUAUUUAAAAAUCUUGAAGUUCACGUUUUAUCAAGUUUUCAUAAUCUAGGUCAUGUUUAAUCAUACCGAUCGUCGAUUUAGAAACCCCUUUCAUCGAAAAAAAAAAAGCCUAUAUCUUCAUAUUUGUGAGUCAAAGUGCCCAAGCGUAUAUACCAUUUCGAAGGUGCGGAUAUGGAUGAACCGCAAGAUAAUUUUGUGGUUGAUUUAGACAAAGGCGGUGGAUUAAUGUGCUUAAUUGCAUUGAAGUCGAAGUGGAGUGAUGUUUCUAUAAUAGGGAACAAACAGCAGCAAAUAUGUGUUAGUAUUUUGAUUUAAAACAAGUGAUUUAAAACUUCUUUAUAUGCUCAUAUGUUUUAAAACUUCAAUUUGGCCUUUGGACUUUGUGGGCAGCCCACUGUCAAUGGGCCUUGCCUGGGAGCCCAAGCUUUGGUCUCUUUUCAUGUGGUGUUUAGUCCCACAUUGGAAAGAGACCCUCACUUGCUCUGGUUUAUAUUCUAUUUUAUUCUCAUUGUUAUUAUUUGGGAAGUGAUGAGAGUGGAGCUCUCGUCUAAAUACACGGCACGAGCACGAGCCGGGCCGGGCGGCGGCGUGCGUGAACCCGGUUCAUUUUAUUUUUGUUACACUUUUCUUUUAUUUUAUUUUUUGGCCUUACCUGGAUUUGGUCCAGUCGAAGGGUCGCACCUCGGGACUCAACCAGCCCCAACGGUCUACCUCGGGAAGGUGGUCUUCCCGUUGGAACCCUUCUCUCCUAUUUACUAGGGUGAGUGGCGGGGUUAGGACAGUAGUGACAUACAGAAACCCUAGCCAGAGCUUCUUCCCUUUUCUCUCUUCUCCUUCUUCUUCACUGUUUUGCUGGAUCUCUGAAAAGCUGUGACGGUUCGUUCUUGCGCCACCCUGAAGCCGUGCCGACGGGGUGGACGAAGGUCGUUGUAUCGCUAGGAGUGAUUGCCGGCGCCUCGUACGUGGAGGGGCAAUCUUGCUUCUAGGACAGUGCAAUCGCACGCCUCGACUCACAGGCUCCAUCUAAUCCUUUAUUCUCUAUAGUAUUUAUUUAUUUCAACGUUUCUAAAAACAGUGGCUAAGUUGUUUUCAAACAAAAUUGUUUAUACAAAUUUUUGACUAAAGAUUUCGAAAGAGAACUAAUUUUUUCCAACAAUAUGUUGAUCGAAUAUGAUUUGGAGAAGAACGAGUUGGGUUAAUUUGCUCAUGCUCAAUGUGAUCAGCUGUGACUUAGUUUGGUUCUAAAUGAGCAUUAGCUUUAAUUUGAUACUAAUAUAUGUAGAGGUGAUUUAUGUUGUAUUAGUGAAGGGAAAAGAUUAUAACUUUUAAGUGAUCCCGUACAUUUGGGAUUAUCUUUUAGAGUGGAGUAAUGCUUCAUGCACGGUCCUAAAAAAGUUUGUUAUUGUCAAUGUGUUAUGUGUAGAAAUAAAUAAAAUAAAUUUCUUUCAUAAUUUGUCACUAUACUUGCACACUUUACUUGGAAUUCUAAACAGAAAUUAAAAUGGUAUAUAUUCUGAACGUAUUACUUGGGACUAUAGUUUGAUGAAAUAACCUAUACCUAUAGUCUGAACCAAAUGCUCGACUUUGUUCGGAUUAAAAAGAAAAAAGAAUAAAAUUACAUUUGACUUUUUUUUUCCUUUCUUCAAAAAAAAGAGAGAAAAGAAAGAAAUUACAAAAAAAAAAUCCUCUUGUUUCAAAAAAAAAAAAAAAAAAAGGAAAGGAAAAAAGAAUUACCAAAAAAAAGGAAAGAAAAAGCGUUACCAAGAAAAAAAAAGAAUAAAAAUAAAAAAAAAAGAAGAAAGGAAAGAAGAGAGAAAAGGAAAAAACAAAAAUAAAAGAAGGAAAGAAAAAAAAGUCUUUGUUAUUUCAAAAUAAAUAAAAAAAAGAAGAAAUCUAAAAGUAGUAUUAAAUACUUAAAUUUCUUGUAAGAUGUAAGGAAUAAUAAAAUUUCCUUUUUAGAGAUUUAUUUUGAAUUUUUUAAAAAUUAAUAAUGAUUUUGGAUCCCUAUAAAUUGGAUUCAAAAUUAAGUAGCAAAAAAAAUUUUGAUUUUUGCAAAGAAUAAAAGAGAGCUUGAGAGAAACAGUUAAAAAAAAAAAAAAAAAAAAAGAAGGACAAAAAGAAAAGAAAGGUUAAAAAAAAAAAAAAUUUCUCUCUGCCCUCCUCUGUAGGCUGGCAGCAACAAAAAGGAGGGGUGUGCUGUGAGCACACCCCCCGUACACACAAGAAGAAAAAAAAAACAAGAGAAAGGCUUAGCUCUUUCAUUUUUGUGGGGGCGCGACAACGACAACUUCGACGACGGCACGACAACGACGAUUUCAACAAAACGCAAAGAGACCAUAGGGCCUCUUUUCUUUUCUUUUUUUUUCUAUGAUGGUGAUGGAUUUAUUUAUACGUGUAAACGGUGUAGUCGCGAUUUUUAUAUCGGUUUGACCAACACAACCGUUUUCGUCAUAGAUUGAUCCGAUCAAAUUCGGCAUUGAAUUGUUACUACAUCAUGCGCGCAAAUUUAUUAAGCCUGUCUCCUCAACAGACGUAAGCAAUCGAGCUUUGGAACUUCUACUGACCAAAAUGCAGCAUUACUGUUAUUGUUUUUUUUUUGGAAAAAUGAUUAAGUACUAAAGGAAAAUUAAUAAAGAUAAAUGCAGGAUUUUUGACGACCUAUUCCAAUUAGUGAAUUUCACAUCAAUCAGUUACUGGAAGAAUCAAUGUAAUUGUUUUAUUAUCUGAGGUGGUGACAUAUCAACUUAUUACAUAAUUAAAUACUCGACAGAGCUAUAUUUCUUGAUUCGUAUGAAAUACAGGACCUCCAAUUGAAACAAUCUCACUCAUUAAUUAAGAUCACAGGUGAUCGCACCGGGCAGGAGCAAAAGAUAACUUCUGAUUGUCCAGAUCGUAGACUACGUGCAUAUUCUGCUGCUGAAAAUUACCAAUUAUAGAGCUUUCGCUGCCGGAAUCUAACAUCGCCAAACACAUUAAACCGACGCUAGAAUCCUGGAACAUGUAGUUGUCGCGCGGCAGGUCCAUAUCUGCGCCUUCGAAGUGGAAUAUCAGCUUGGGCACGUCCACCUUUGCUGACGGAGACGACGGCAGCGAGAAGCAAAGGUCGAAGCCCUCCGCGGUGCCGUUAGCCACAGGCAGCUUCACCUGCGACAAGAAGGCGCUCCUCACGUGCUUGUAAGCAACCGUGGUUAGCUGCGUGAUGGACGUGCCGGAGUCUAUGAUCACUCCGGCCGUCCCGUUUUGCUGCAGCGCGAAUGCCGACUUCGGUAUCGGGAGACGGGUCGUGCCUACCGUUAUACCGUCGAGAGAGAGGUAAUAGAAGGUUGGCUGUGAAGGAUUCAGAACGAACGGAGUCGACCGGACGGUAGUAGCAUUGCCGUUUAAACCGGCAGCCGACCCUAACAUGAGUGCGCUGCUCUUCGAGUCGUCGUCGUAGGAAAUGAAGCAGUAAGAGAACUUUCCGACUCCUAACUGAGAGAUGAGAGACAAGGGCCCGCGACCGAAGCCGGCAAUCCCG